rnacentral:lncRNA from 1 species
GGGGGGGGGGGGGGCGCAAAAAGAAAACAGAGAUUGCAUUGGGAAGUUUUCAAGAUCUGCAAAUGCCUCCUUGCCCUUACGUCACUGAGUAAUUCCCUUGGGGUUUCUCACUGUAAAACAUCGGAAUUUUGUCAACUUAUUCACAGACAAUUUUAAAUUAUUUAUAGGGUAUCAUGCGGUCCCGAAUUCACGAUCUAUCUAAAUGCUUUUUAGUAACAGUAUAAAAAUAACACAUUAAUUCAAUUAGAUGCGUGAAGAGAGCGAAAAAGGCAAAAUAUUUGUUUUCUAAAGAGAGAUUAAUUGACUUCAAUAGAGAAGUUUAGUAAUGGCUAUGAAAUGAGUUAUAUGCAAAAGACAAAUGAUUUUUUUUAAUUAAGGAUAUUAUUGAGAUUUCUGAAGAUUUAUACAGUAAAAUACGAUUUUGUAAUUUAAUAGAGAGUUUGUAAAGUAAAAAUAGGUUUAAUGAGUAAUCUUAUGAGUUUAAAUAAGCGCACUCAACUUCAUUUUCUAACUUACAAAUCUAUCCGCUAAUUAAUUACACUAAAAGAAAAAAAAUAAUUCAAAUUAAACAGAUUAGCCUCAGUACACUCUUUAGUAUUACAUAAACCGAUAUGUUCCAAUAUAAUGAUGGACUGAAUUCAAUAUUGUUACCGCCUUUUUGUUAUUGUGGUUAGAAAUUUUAUGCUACAACAUUAAAUAAAAUAUUGCGUAAACACUAAACACAUACGACUCCAGGUUGAAAGUUGAGUUGGCACUAUAAACAUUCAUUAAUUUCUUUAUUAUUUUUAUCAAAUCAUUAAUAUUUUUUUUAUGCUUAAAAGCUGCAGGCAAAUUAAACCUUUCUGAAAAAGACAAACGAUUAUAGUAUUAUACUCCUAUAGAAGAUUUUUUUUGCUCCAAUUUCUCUUGAGAACAAUAACAUAUCGUUCUCAUUUAUAACAUAGUUAUUGUCAUCUUUUAAGACCAACCUUGAGAUCCCUUCCGAGCUCGAUCACGGUUGUAAACAAACCCACGGUUAAUAAAGGGUUCCAUUCCAUCGAGGCCGUUGAGCUUGAGCUGUAAGCAAUAUUUGUCUGUCUACCUGAAAUUGGGAUCGAAGUUCACUGAUUUCAAGGCUCUAGCUAUGGCCAAUGGAGGUGGUGUAACUAAGGAAUAUGCCCCCUAAAACCAAUUUUGAUCAAAUCAUAAUGCUACAGUAGGAGAAACAGUAACCCCCCAACAAAAAAAAAAAAUUCGACUGAAAUAUUUUAAAAGUUAUGAAAUGUAUGAAACUAUUGAUAAUUUAUACAAAAUGUAACAGAAAAUGUGUGUGGAUACAUACACGCAGAUUCGCACUGGAAACAUUAAGAUCAACUUUUAACUCACCAUGCCCAAACCUAACUUGUACAAGGUCUUUCUGUGAACCGGCAGAAGCACCCUCUAUGACACAUUGAAACUAUUGCUUACAUGCAGGUAAGAAGUUAGCAGUCACGCCCUGAGUCACCCUUAAGUCGUUGGUAUAUGUCACUCCGUAAAAUCUCCGCAUAUUCCUGCAAUAUUAAACCCCCCAAAAAGAGAGAAAUCUUAAGAUCUGAACAAUAUAAUAAUCAUCAAGCUUCAAAAGUAGAACAUAAUUGCUGUUAGGGAGCAUCACAAACCACAGUGGCAUGGUACUUACCUCUGCAAGAUCCUCAUCACUGCAUAACUCACUUACAAGAUCUUCGCGGCCGCUUCCAUUGCAAUGAAGCUGGCCAGCAUUUUGGACAACGGCUCGGAAGACCUCUCCAGGUGGAUCCAAGUGCUCAAUCCUCUGAACCACUUGUUGGAUUCCUAUCUGGAAGACAAUUAAAUAAAUCAGGAAAUAGUUACUAACACUGAUUGAUAAAGCAAAGUCCUUAUCAACACAUAUGGUAAUAAGGCAAUAAAAGUAAUCAGUAAUACAGUUUCCUUCCAGCAUCUAUAUGCAUAUGCCCAAGAAAUUUCUCGUAUGUUACAGGAUAUAAAACAAUAGAGUUUCAUCAACACUCGUAUAACUACACCCGGGUAUCGCAAAUUGAAUAACACAAGAACGGUUAAACACAAAGGAAACAGCCUUUUGAGUUAGUAGCCCGAAUCGAUUUUAGCAGAGUCAAAAAUCAAAACCAUCCUGUAAAACAUGAGAUUUUAACACUUAAUUCAGUUUACUAACUUCCCAGGUUCUUUACUAUUUUGUCUUUUCAGAACGUGUACAAACCUGAAUUGGAUCAUCAGGGUUGUCCACCCCACUUGACCUCCUCUCACUACACUGAGGUGUGCCAGAAAGGGGUUGAGGCGUAGAUCCACGACCUAGAGCUUGAGAAACAACAGGCAUCAUCUGUUGGACCAUUCUUGACAAGUCAAUACCACCAGCCCAACCACCCCCUAACCCUGAAAACAUGUUUCCCACAUCCUGGGUGUCAAUCUGCUGAGCAAUUUGAUUCACAGUAUUCAAGACUUGCGGGCUCUGAGUGAGCUGCUGCAACAUAUUUCUCAAUACAUCCGGAGAACCAAUCCCAGUUUGCUGUGAAAACCCUGACAAUAGACCAUUCAACUCAGUGCUACGUAGAACUUCAGAUAUAGCACUUGCAGUGUCAACUUGGCUGUCGAUGUCUUGCCCUCCUGACUGUUUACUCUCUGUGACCCUCUCAACUACAGGUAAUUGACCAAAGGAUAGCUCAUUUGCAUCUAUCCCAUUCCUUACGGAGCUGGAAGAUGCAAGAGUUUGCAAGAGAUGCUGGCCAACAGAUGUAGAGUUCAAGUUUUGAUCAAGAGGAGCAUUGCUCAUUCCACCAUCACUACUCUUGACCGGGGUCUUUGGCUGCCUUGGCCGCCUCUGAUCACAUAAAAAACAAGGGAGUUGCAAGCAAUCAGAUAGCAGAAGACAUCAAAGGAGAACACAUCAGAGAAAAUUGAUUAAUAUACUGAAACAGAAGGGUUAGCACACAAAGUGCCAUAGAGAAAGACUUUGGAGAAAAAAUAAUUACUAAAAUGGAGUGCUUAACAGUAUCAAUGUAAUACUUGGGUAAGUAAACAAAGAGCCAUCUGACAAUCAUGAAGAUCUAGCCUGCGAAAAAUUCCAUGCACAUAUUUGAGUAGGAAUCUUUUUUUUUCCCUUCUUUUUUUUUCUUUUUAAGGAUCUUGUCAGAAGACUUGGAUCUAACAGCAACUUCAAAGUACCACAAUAUGAAGGAUAUUUCGAAUAUUUUUUAAAACGAACAAAAUUAUCAUACCUUCCGUUCUAAACCCCCCAGCCCCAAUCCAAGUGGAGCAGCUUUGGAACCCUCCUGCAGAUCUUGCUUCUCAAUAGAUCCAAGAGCAUUUCCUGAAUUGUCUUCUGACUCUCCACUUGAUGAACUCUGAGCACCUCCACUAGAAGAUGAUGGUGCAUCUUUAGAACUCAAGACGCUCCCCAUACCUUCAUUAGUCCUUACAUGAUCUCCUUCAGGUAGUGCCUGCUACAUUAUCAGCAGUGGUCAAAGGAAAUCACAAAAUUAUUCCAAUUUGCAUCAUCCAAGGUUUUUAUACAAAGCAAACCUUCUGACUUUCACUUUCCGGUGUGUUCCCGGAUAAAGAGACCCUAAGUUCACCAACUCUGUUAACUGGUGUGCUACUGAGCUGUUCAUUGCCAGCAUAACUUCCUACCAUAGAUCCAUCAGAUAAAUUCUGCCCCGCUGACAUCACUUCAGCUACAUACAGAAAGAGCAGUAUUUGUCAACCGUGCAGUCAUUAGUACAUGAAUUAGUAUCAAAGGUACCUACCUGAUGGAACCUGGUUUUCUCCUUGCAUGUUACCAACAAAGUUCCUGAUUUGUGAAUUCACUUGAUCAACAACAGAGGAUAGCAAACCUGAGUUGGCAGAUAGCUGAGGUACGGAUAAGCCUGGACCAGGUUGGGCUACAGUGGAAAUUGCAGCAGCAGUAGGACGUGAUGGUACAGCUGCUGCAAUGAUAUUUCUCACAGGUAGGACCCUCACUGAACCAGAACCAGCCAACUCUGUAGAACCAGUAGCAUUCCUGCGUUCUCCCUGCACUCCAUCCCCAUUACUUGCCCUGGUACCAAUUGUUGAAAGAACAGGUGCCAGUGCAGUGCCUAAUAACACGUACACCAUCAGAUCCAUAAAAGUAUAAGCAGCACGUUAUGCAUAAAAUUUACCUACCAGCAUGUAUAUGAAUAUUUAUGUUCCUUGGGGCAUGUCCAACACCAACUGGGCCAAUAUUCAUGGGAUUUGAUGAAGGAACUGAACCGCCAAACAAAGAGCUGGUUUGGAUAGGAAAUGGCUGUAAAUAAAGGAAAGCCAUGAAUAAAUAGGUACAUUAUAACCAGCUUUUUUUAAUCAUUUCAAAUCCUAAGAUUGUAGCUAGUAAAUCGUAAAAGAGCUCAGCAUUUAAAUUGUCAGAGAGAUACAGUGACAGAAACACACAAUUGAAGCAACAUAAUCCAAGGAAUAAACUAUCUCCUAUGCAAUUCCAAAACCAUCAUAUUCACUGCAGUCAGCAAAUUUCACUACUACUCACACUCUCAUUUUUUCUCUUUAAGCUCUAUACUCUUUAGCAAAGGUUUUCAUUACCUUUUUCCAGCCAAAUACAGCACUCUGUAUCCCCUCCCUGUCUACAUGAAAGGAGUAUAAUUUUAUACUGCAGUAAGCGUAUUAUGUACUGUUCCUCCACAAUGCAUAAUUAUUAAAAUCUGUCAGCUGGUAACAGAUUUUGCCAGUACGUACAACAUAUUUACUGUCCUAGGAACAGCUAACUUAACACAUUACUGUUACAAACCACCAACAUCAUGUUUAUCCAACCAUUCACCACGGCACAGGAAGACCCACUUAUACCCUCAAAUCUUAUUCUACAUGUGUGAUAUAUACCAAAACAUAUGAUACAUAAUUAUUGACUAACCUGAACCAUUAUUGGAUUAGGUCCUGAUGGAGAUAUAUAAACAGCAGGCCCAGCAUUGACAGAAAAUUCCACCUGCAAGUUGCAGUGGAAAAAAAAAGGUGAAUAUGUACUCAAAAAUGUGAACAUGUAAUCACAAAAAGAGCCAAUAUGCAGAGGAUAGACUAGAACAUACAGGAGACUGCCCCAUACGGAGUGUCAAAAUUACACGACCAAGCUCUAACAGAAGAGAACCCAAGUGUUGCAUUGCAAAUCCUAUUUGCACAGAUUCUGCCUGAAUUUGACCCCUGAUAUUAGGAUCUGAAGAAGCACCCUCUUGCUCCAAACGUCCUGCGAUAUGCUACAUUAUAAAUAACACUUAAUCAGAUUACUAGAGUUAUCCCUCCAAGAAAAUAAUAAUAAUAAUGAUGAUGAUAACUAAAGAAAGAAGCAAAGUUGGUCCAUUUUCAGCAACUUUAUCUCAAAAACUUUUCUUUCAUAAGAUAUGAGUGAUUAUAAAAUAUUGCUUUGAUAUUGGUAAAGUGCAUGCUUUAGCUUCAAUAAGUGAUUAAAUCUUGAUUCCAAAUACUACAAAUAUGCACUGACAACUAUGUGCGAUGCAUUUCAGAAAAAAUGAAAAAAGAAAAAAAAAUUGUGGUGAUUAGCGAAAUAACUUUCUAUAAUUUAAAAUGUGCAAUUACAAUGAACAAAAUCAGCAAAAGAUUCAUAAGUUCAUCUGAUCAACCAGCAAAAGUAGAAAGAAAAGUCAAACCCAAUAACAUUAAGGAAAUAACUGAUCAAUACAACAGUAUAGAAAACAGACUCUAUAAACACAGAUGUAACAAAGGGAUUGAAAAUGCAAACUCAGCUCUGACUAGCUUUACAGAAAGAUAUAUGCUUUCCGUUCCAAGAUAAAUUUUAAUGAAAAUAAUCCACUAAUAUAUGCUAAUGGAAACCAGGCACAAACACAUCUCAGUUUCAAACAAAGAUAAGGAUCCACCAAUGCAAAGACAAAAAGUGAAAAGAAGUGUUCCAAGAAUAGUAUUUACAGAGAGUGCAGCCACAGUGUGACCACUGAGAAGCCUUUGUGCACGUUGCAGGACAAUGUUCAAAGCUUCAGGAGUUGGCAAACCCCGUUCGUUGGAUGGUAAUUCAGGUCGUGGUACUUCUUCAUUACUAGUUGAUGAUGUAUUUGGCUGAUACCCUAUACAUCACAGAAACAGUUAGUUGGAAGUUAUAUCAAGCACAGAAGCACAAGACAAUGCUUUAGCACAAUCACCAUUUUGGGACAGUGUCUGCUCCAUGUGGUUCAUAAACUCUGAAAUUGUAUUUAAAGAAUCAGGAAUUGGCUGAAACCAAUAAAGAAAUGAUAUUAGUAAAUAAUAAAGGCAUAUAACAAGUAAACAUGCACAAAUAGAUAUUUCCAUACCACAUUAAGUGAAGGAAAUGGCACAGCUCCUGCUGUCUGAGGAAUUUGCACAACAGGAGGUGACGAUAAUUGACCAGGAUAUGGCUGUCCGGACUGUGCUUGAUUUCCCACUUGGCUUUGAUUCCCAACAUGCCCACCACUGCCAGCUGUCUCAUUUCCUUGUUGAGGCUGAGCAUGAAUAUUUGACUGCAAAUAAUAACACGAUCAUUUGAAUACACUAAACACAUACACAGGUAUUUCCGAUUGCAGCAAAGAACUACACAAAUCAGGAAAAUGAUUUAAAUGGCUACUUACACGGAUGACAGACACCAUAAUGAAUAGGUUCAACAUGAUAGCCACAAAUGGAGCUACACAGCCAAAUUUGUCUAUAAAACUGUGAAAAUAUGUUCAUGUGAAUGAAUGCAUUGCUCAAAACAUUCGAUUGGAUAAAAGAAUGUGACAACCACAAAUGGAGCUACACAGUCAAAUUUGUAUGUAAACAGUGAAAAUAUGUUCAUGCGAACGAAUGCAUUGCUCAAAAUAUUUGAUUGGAUAAAAGAAUAGCAUAAUUAAGGAAAAAUGUCUCCGGCUGCCACUUCCAUUUAAAAAAAUAAAAGAAAACCCAUCCCAUGAGCGAGAAAGUAAAUUAUUUAGAAGGGAAGGUUGAAAGAUGCUCCAUCACGCUAGCACAAAGACAUAAAAAAAAUUAAAAAUGCAAACUUACCAAAGUUGAAAACUGUAUGCCACUAUUACUGCCAGUAGCUGGGGUCUGACCACCAAUUCCAAGGGAAUUGAUAAGUGCCCCAAUAACCUACAAGUCAACCAAUAAGGGGUUAACAACUUGUGGAAACAACAAAAUACAAAUCCUUCCAUCCUUCCUUCUCUUCCUGCAACAGCAGUUAAAAAACCUGAUACAAAGAUAUAUUAAAGCCCACCAAGUUAAGAAAAAAGUAAUAUUUUCAGACGCACCCGAGUGAGGUCUGGAGCAAUGCCUUCACCUUGAUCCCCAACAUUGAAGGUCCCAAGAAGUACACUGUGAGAAACUUGCCCCAUACGACCACGAGGGGCAUUAGCAUUGGCUUCGCUACCUGCCAAAUUAGGACAGAAACCAUGACUAACCGACUUAGAAAUGAUCAACAUUGCUGUAAGAAAAUGCUUGGAAUUACGAACUGCCGGAGAAUCCUAAUUGGAGAAUCAGUACCUCCAGUAACAUUGUUCCCAUUUGUCUCUCCAGAGCUCGCAUCAGAUGAAGGCUGUGAUUGAGCUGGCUGCCUAAUUACCAAAUGCAGUGUAUGCCCAUUCUCAACAUCUAAAAACAGUCAAGGAAUUCACGGAAUUGCAGUGAUAGAAAAAUCCACUUAGAUGGCUAAAUGAGCCAUAAGAUAGUGAUAAAAUACUGGUGUAAUAAAACAUCAAUACAGCAAGUGAAACUAAGAAUAUAUGGCAAACAAAUCGCAGCCCAGAAACUCUUUAACGCAAAAAUAAAGAUCGCAUCAAUGGGGAGAUACGGUAUUCAGAAAGGAGAUGUUCAUCCUUUAACACCUUUCCCCUGAAUAUCAAUCGUUGCUGGCCAACUGGGACACCAAUAUCAUUGGCUAUCUUCUCCUUGAAUAAUGUAACUGGGAUCUGAAUCAGAAUGACAUUAUUUGGAAAUGAAUCCAGUGAAGUUCAAAUUUUCCAAAGAAAAGAAAUCGAUUAGCACAAUGAAUUUGUGAAUUUCAACAAUUUGGAGGUCCCAUUCAUGAUAUGCAAAUUGUAUGAACAAAAACUGUUAUUUCGGUCAUCAAUAAGAAUGAAAAUGCCAACCAAAAUAACCGAAUAACGAUUACAGUGAAUUGAAACAAGAAGCAUGAUCAAGACUUUGCUCACAUUUUUGUCAACUUGGAAACUAUAAACCUGGGAUUCUAAAGUCUUGACAUUGAUCUCUACAAUUGCAUCUGAACUUUUGCCAGAAACAUUGCCUGUGCUGGAACUCUCAUUGGGAUAUUGAUCCGCCAUGAUAAGCAGCAGCAACCUGAGUGCAAAAUCAGUUACUGUACAAAUUCAAACUCUGACAUACAAGCAAUCGCAUAUCACAAAUGCAAAAUGGUACUUGUCAUUUUCUAAGUUUGUUGCAAUCUGAAGUUUACAGAAUAUCUAUCUAUCUGCACUGGCGUUAGUAGCUGAUGCACCGGCAUGCAAUUAUUCAGAUAACGAAUGCGACAAAGGACAUUUAAUGCUUAAAAUGAAAAGAUGCUAUGCAGCACUUUGAAAAGUUUUAAAUGUCAGCAUCAUACAUUUUUAUGUAUAUGGAUGUUCUUUCUCGUCUUAAGUUGCAAUAACAUGAAAGAGAUACUACAAAACAGACACAUUGCAACCAAUGCACUUACUUAACGCUAGAAUACACAAAAUAAGAGCCAUCCUAUACCUCCAUAAAAUCAUAACGAAUAUAAUACACUCUCUCUGAAAUAUACCUUCCUAUCAAAAUCUAACCUAAUGCCGCAUCUAAAGGCAAACAAGAUCCCAAUUCUAUCAAAUUGCAAGAAGGAAGAUGACAUAGUUUUCAAAGCAAGAAAUUAUGCAUGGUGAGUUUAUAAAACCCUAAUGCUGAUCAAAUCCUGAAUGCAUACAAUAAAAAUCCACAAAAAAAAAAACACUUCUUCAACCAUUACUCAGCUUUUAUUAUAAAAAAGAUGCUGGAGAUCGCAAUCAAUCAUAACAUCAAGGCGAAGAGAAAUAAAAAUAUUAAAUAAAUAAAAAGUUAAUCCUUCGAUACAAGAGUACUAAGAUAAAACAAAAAUUAGAUACUAAAAUUGCUAAACAGAACGAGUUCCGCUAUCUGCUUAGGGCGUGCAAGAAUAAAAUCGUGACACGUUUAAUCCGUAUAUAUAGCCCUCCCCGCCCCAACAAAAAAAAAAAAACAGAUACAAAGUAUUCAAGAGAGAUAAGAGCAGGAAAAAUGGAAAACACGAGAGGAACCUUUAGUUGCAGAAAUCUGAAAUUAAAUUAGAGUGCAAAGACGACGGGAAAAAUACGGCGGCGCCGAUUUGAGUGUUAUUUAUUUAUUUUUCGUUGGUUGGGGAAGGGGGGUUAUUUUUGAAGAAAGGCUUGGCUCGGGUCUCUUAACGAAUGCGGAAUGCCUUUGGGAGUAAGAAAAGAAGUCUUCUUUGGUCUAGAUAGUAGAUAGAGAACACGGGUGAUAGGGCGGUGCCGUGGUACAUGACCCGAGUUGACCGGGUUUUAGCUGCUUUAAUGAACUGUGCAAUCGAUUAUACCACGAGGUACGUUUGGCAAGAAGAAUCUAGAAAAAAGAAGCUGAGCGUAAGGCUGUGCAAGGGAAAUUCAUUCUACGGUGCCGUUUUGUUGGUGGUCUUGGUUUUCAGGUUGGAUGCAAGAAAGUUCAAUAUGGGCCUCGACAAUUCAAUAAGACCUGCCCAUUCCUAGAUGGACUUACAUUAUUGCCACCCCUCUAAAUGCCGCUUAAAAUCCAUUUUCUUUAUUAAUCUCAUUAAAACGUUUAAAAAUAAUACAACGUGUUUUUACUAGUUACGUUAAAAAAAAAAAAAAAAUCAAUUGAAACUUAUUCGUGUAAAUCAACGCCAUUCUUUAGUAUCCUCUUGUUCACAUUCCUCAACCAAUUUUCUUUUUUUGUUUGUUUUAAGCAUUAUUGGCAUAAUUCAGUGUACUGGCAACCAUGUGCAGGGCUUGUAGAUUAUUUCAAUUGGAUCGAUUUUUGACGAGGCAGCAAUGAUGGUGGCUCGACUUGGGUGUGGUCGGCUCGUGAGUGUAGUCGCCUAGUCGGCUUGAUGGGGAACGUGCAUAUUAGGCCAGUUUUGUGGGGGCUGGUGGCGCGAAAGAUUUGCGUCUCCCGUCAAAGUUGGGAUUGGUUAGAUCGGCUUGAUGUGGAGGAGUGGCGGUUCGAUUUUGUAGGGGCUGUUGGUGUGGCGGUAGUGUGGCAGUUGAAUGGUAGUUGUUUUUGUAUAGUGGCGGUGGGUUAGAGUGUGGAAUAGUUUUCCGGUUAAAGCACGUGGCGGUGGUUUGGAUGGGAGUAGACGGCGUCAUUGUUGUUUAGUGAGUGUCCGCAACGGUGGGUCGUCGCCACCGUCAGCCAAAUAAGCCAUAAAAGCCAAUCAAGGUGUUUGGUGCAGUUUGGCCGCGAAACAGAAAAUUUUUUACUUGUCGGUGAGGGUUUAAUUAGUAAUUAUAUCCCCUUUAAAAAAUAUUAGUAACUAUAUCCGAUAAGUAAUUUUAAUAAAAAUUAAAAGAGUGUGGCUAUCAAGGAUGAGUGUCUCAAUACUCAUUCUUGAUAUUUUACAUACGUUCUUGUUCAUAAUUAUUUGAAGGAGUUUUUGUCCCCUUCAUGAAUAAUAAAUAAAAAAUUAAAAUAUUUAAUAAAUAUUAUAAUAAAAAAUUGGGCCAAUAGGAUCAUGUCUAGUAUUUUUAAUGCUCUGAAUAAAAAUUUAAACUACAACCAUUCAAUUAGGUCUAAAAAUUUAAUAAUAUAAACAUUUUGAUAUUUAUUUUUUAAACCAAUAUUUAAUAUUGUACAAUUUAAAUUUUAUUAUUUAUUCACUAAUAAUUUUAAAAAAUAAAACUAAAAUUAAAAAGAAAAAAGAAAAAAAUAUGGAUGGGAUGGGAUUCACUUCAUCGCCGUCCUUUCUCUUAAUAAGAAGUUGGGUAAAAACUAGUUCCAGUCAUUUUCCCUAAUAAGAAAUUAGAUAUAAAAUUAUUCUUAUAUGAUCUCCAAAUGGGAAAAAUCCCCAACGAUCCCCAUUUCCAUAGGAAUUUCUGCCAGUGCCAUUCCUAAGAGCUAUUUGAAUUCAUUAAAUUCUUCUUUACACUUAUUUACUUAGUAAAUCUACUAUUAAAAUCUUAAAAUUAAAUUUUUACCGUAUAAACUUCUUAAUAUCACACAAAUAGUCCUAAUAAUUAUAUAUUAUUGCUGCAUAUUAUUUUACUCUUGAGGUCCACUGAGCCCCUUUCAUGUUUAUCUCUUACUCUUCGUUGUCAUUUUCUCAAUUUCUUUGUAUUUAUGAUUUUAUGUUGCAGAUCUAGUAUAUUGAAAAACCAUCUCUUUGUUUUGAAAUUUGUUUAAUUUUAUGACCCAAAUAUUAGGACCCAAAUACAUAAUCAUUCAUCUAAAAUCUCAAUCAGAUAGGGCAUCUUGCAUCCUUGUUCUAUGGAGGUGUGCUAUCUGAAUUCACUCUUACAAAAUAUUGCUAUUGCAACUGCAGCAAUCUAAAAUCAUUCAUGUAUCACGGUGAAAAAAAAAAUAAUUAUAAACAAAAUAUUUUAUUUAAAGUUGAGGAGAUGGUUACGGUUUAUGGAGGGUGCAAUCAUUUAUGGUGUGUUUACUUCAUGUGAAUAGGAAUGCGUUGGAAUGGGAAUGUGUUGGGAAUAAGAUUUCAUUGUUUACUUAACAAAAUAAAUGGGAAUGAGAAUAUAUUGAAAUGUCAUUGAUGUGUUUACUUGACAAAAUAAAUGAGAAUGAAGAAUGAUAAUGAGAAUCAAAUUACCAAAAUACUCAUAGUAUUAAUAAUUAAUAAAAAUAAUUAAUUUAUCAUUAUUAACAAAUAUUAUCAUUAUUGUUGUUGUUGUUGUUAUUAUUAUUAAUAAUAAAAUAUUAUUACUAUUUUUAUUAAUAUUAUCAUUAUUAACAUUUAUUAUUAUUAUUAAAUUUUAUUAACUUUAUUAUUUUAGCUAUUAUUAAUUAUUUUUAUUUUUAUUAAUAUUAUCAUUAUUAACAAUAAAAUAAUGAUAAAAAUAAUUAAUUUAUCAUUAUUAACAAUAUUAUCAUUAUUAUUGUUGUUGUUAUUAUUAUUAUAUUAUUAAUAAAAAUAAAAAUAAAAAUAAUUAAUAAUAACUAAAAUAAUAAAGUUAAUAAAAUUUAAUAAUGAUUAUUAUUAUUAUUAUUAAUGACAUUUAAAAUAAUAAAAUUAUUUGUAAUUUGAACAAAGGUAAUUUACGAAAUAUGAAAAAAUUAGAAGGAUAUAAAAAUAAAUUUAUGUUUCAUUCUCAUUCCCAACCCCCCAUGAGAAUGAGUUUCUUAUUCUUUAUUUUUAAAUUAUGUGGGACCCACAUAAUUUAUUCUCAUUCCCAAAUUUAAUUUUGUCAAGUUAACAUAACUUUGAUUCCAAUUCCUCUAUUCUCAUUCCUUAUUCUAAGAAGUAAACACACCGUUAGAUAAUUAACUUAUUUAUCAUUUUUAAUAGUUUUACAUUAGACUAUGUUUUGGAAUAUAAUUUUUUAUUAAAAAAUGGAUCUAACAAGAAUUUCUAUGGAUCAAAUAAUAUCACCCAAGUGAAAAUUAUAGAAUAACUAAUGGGGUAAUGGAGUUUUACGAGGCAUGUGGAGGGUUGCAUAUAGCCAUAUAGGCCUAGUCUUGCAUAAGUUUGUGUUGGAUUAGCUUUCCAAAGAUAAAGACAAUAUUUGGUAUAACAACAGUUAGGUGGGGCUAUCUGAACCUAUUAAUUUCUUUUAUAAAUUUAUCUAAAAAAUAUAUAUUUGUUAUUAAAUCUUAAUAUUUUGAAAUUUCAAAGUUAACCCCCCCACUAAUUUCGUCCUUUUUCAAUCUCAUUGCAACCAAAUUUUUCCUAGCAUGGUUGUCUAUAAAUAAAAUAUAAAUAAAACUCUCUUAACUUUAGAUAGAAAUUAAAAUGGAGAUAUUUGUUAAUUUAUAUUAUUUCUUGAGAUAGAAAUUAGGAGGUGUUAGUUUUUCUUUAUGAAAAUUUAGAUGAAAAAAAUGAUUUAUUCUUUAUGGUAUAUGAAGAUUGCUCGCAAAUGUUGAGUUUUGUUCCUUAUUGUUCUUGAUAGAUUAUAACAAUAUCUAUUUGAAUUUUGACCAGUUUGUCUUAUCUCUCAAAACAUCUGCAAUCUAUCACUAAAAAAAAGGGUAAAAAUUGGUGAGAAAUGUAAAGAACUAUACAAAAAGAAAAUAAAGUUAGUUAUAGUAUAGAAAGAGAAAAUGUGGUCAGUUAGAUAAUUUCAUCAAAAAAUUAUUAAUAAUAAAAGAUUAAUUGAAAAGAGCGUAUAAAAAGAAAAUUAACGGUUUCAAAUAACCUUAUCAAAACACCUUAUCCAUAUAGCCUUAAGAGUGUAUAAAAAGAAAAUUAAUGGUUUCAAAUAACCCUAUCAAAGCACCUUAUCCAUAUAGCCUUAUCGUUGUGUCAGUAGAGUUUAGCCACAAAUGAGUUAUUCUUGCUAAAUUCAUCAAAUUUAAGAAUAAUUUAAUAUUAUGAGAAAAAAUAAUAAUAAUGCAACAUAAGUUCAUCAUAAAGUGAUUAAUUUAUUAAUAUUAAAGUGAUUAAUUGGUAUAAGUUGGAAAAUAAAAAUAAUGCAGAAAAUAUGUUAAAAUUUUGUAAUAAUUAGAUAUAAAUGAGAUAAAUGAGAUGAAUGAGAUGUCAUGCAAGAUAAUUUCUUUGAGUGUUUUUUUAAGUUUAAUUUUUUUUUUUAAAAGACUCUUCAGUCUUCACAAUAUAUUAAAGGACUCACCAAUGAUGCCGAGUCAGUUGGUCUCAGUUACUGCACCAGCCACCCUCUACUCACUCACUUUUCUUACAGGAAAAAGCCAAAACAACUCUUAAACUAUCUCCGGCAUGGACAUUGAGAAACCGUCGAAUAAAACCGCCGGGAAACCAAUUCAAUGCAGAGGUAGGUAGCAUUUAUUUAUCAUACUGUACAAAUCUUCUAUUAUCAUUAAAUUAAAGUCAUCAAUAAUUCGCCUUGAGCAUGAAAUGAAUUAUAAUCGUUGACUUUCGCGUCCGCGUCGUAAAAAUCUGUAGCCGCAAUCGCUACAGCUCCAGGAGAGCCUCUGGUUAUAGACGAGGUUAUCGUCGACCCUCCAAAUUCCCACGAAGUUCGGGUUCGGAUAAUCUGUACUAGUCUCUGUCACAGUGACGUCACCUUCUGGAAAAUGAAGGUCUCUUAUCAAAGUCAAACCCUUUUGUAUUAUCUUUAGUUUUAUUUUUUUCUUUAAAAAAAUUAUUUAAUUUAUUUGCUUGUUAUUAUCGUUGUUUUAUUUUUCGUGAAGGAUUUUCCAGCCGUGUUUCCAAGAAUUCUCGGUCACGAGGCUAUCGGGUAAGAAUUAUAUUCUAUCUUUUAUACCUUUGUAAUUUUCUUUUUCCUUGCAUGACGGAUAUGUCUGAUGAAAAACUCAAUCUUGGCUGAUCAUGUGAAUGUGGCUUCAUUAAGCUAGUCAUUAAUUGUUUUGCUUAAUCUAUCCCAAUCUAUUUUUAGUGCUAAUGUUGACGCUGGGUUUUCCAUGGGGCCAACUUGGUUGUUCACGAUGAAUUGAGAGUGUUUGGCCCUUGGCUGACAUGGUCUAAAUAAUUAACAUUGUGUUGCAGAGUUGUGGAGAGUGUUGGGGAGAAUGUAGAUGGAGUGGUUGAAGGAGACGUUGUCAUCCCGCACUUUCUGGCAGAUUGUACAGAAUGUGUAGGUUGUAGAUCAAAGAAGGGCAACCUAUGUUCAGCAUUUCCUUUCAAGAUCUCUCCUUGGAUGCCAAGGGAUCAGACAAGCAGAUUCAAAGACCUCAGAGGAGAGACUAUACACCAUUUUGUCUCUGUUUCAAGUUUUUCUGAGUAUACUGUUCUAGAUAUUGCCCAUGUAGUCAAAGUUGAUCCUACAGUCCCUCCAAAUAGGGCUUGCCUUCUAAGCUGUGGAGUAUCAACAGGUACCAGCCACUGAUUUUGAGGCUAUUAAUUGUCUUGAUUAUAUGCAAUACAAGAUCUCUGUUUUCCACUGGCUUCAGUUCUCUCAGAUCAACUGGAAUUUGGAUUUUAUAGGCGUGGGAGCUGCUUGGAGAACAGCAAAUGUAGAGGUUGGAUCAACUGUUGUUAUAUUUGGGCUUGGUUCAAUUGGAUUAGCGGUAUGAUAUUGUAGAAAAUCGGUUGAGUGUUAUACACUUCCUGUUUGAACUUUCGUAUAUGGUAUACUGCUGAAAUAGGUUCAUAGAUAUCUUUUGGUAUCAGGUUGCAGAGGGAGCGAGAUUAUGUGGUGCUACAAGGAUUAUAGGCGUGGAUGUGAUCUCGGAAAAAUUUGAAAUUGGUGAGUGAAGUUUAUAUGUUGUACGGGCUUAGGUUUGACAGGGAAUAAUCUCCUCAUGUCAUCACAAAUAAAUAAUUGUUUGUGUGGACACAUCAUUAUGAAUCAACUAUUCGAAGUAUUUGAUAGAUACUAAGUUAAACAAUUCUGUUUUAUAGGCUAAUUGAAACUAUGAUUUCUGUGAUUUCUGAUUGAUGUUUAUCCACACAGGAAAAAGGUUUGGAGUUACAGAGUUUGUGAAUUCUAAAAACUGUGGGGAUAAAUCUGUAAGCCAGGUCUUGCUCUCAAUCUAUGAUCUUCCUCUUCUUACUAUUUCUGUUAGUUUCUAAUUUUGAGGUAGAGGAUGCCAUGUCAUGGCAGUUUACAUCCUUUUGGUGAUUUCAGCUUAUGUCUGAAGUGGUUUUUCCAUUAGGUUGUUUUAUCGUUUAAAGAACAAGCAUUUGCAUCUUUGGGGUGUCAACAAACUUGGAUCUUUUGUGUUGAACCUAAGCAUCACAGAGUAGUUAGUAGUUACUAUAUAAUUGAACAAGUUUGGACCUAAGAUACCACUCUUUUGAACCUUUGAGAGCUUAUGACUCCAUAAACUCUACAUAGGAUGACAAUGAAGCAUAAAUAGUGCAUUUUGUGAAAUCUUCUUUAUUUAUUGAUUCAGUUGAUGAGAUAGCCUGUGACUGCUAUCUCAUAUUUCCUUUUGAUUUUAUGCCUUCUCCCUGUGAUACUGCAGUUUAAGUUGUUAAUUCUUAUUACACUGCAAUGUAGAGGGAUAAAUCUUAUACCUCUGCAAUGAGAUGCUAUGAAUUAACCUACACUGCAUUGCAGUGUUAAGAAGGAUUAACCUACACUCCUUUUAAGAUAAUCAGUUACAGGAUAAUGUAUUAACCUUCUCUGCAAAGCAUUGUUGCAAGGAUAAUCAUAAAUCCAUAAAUACUAUUCAAUAUUAUAUUCUAGGUAUGGGAGAUGGAAACUGUUUAAAGCAAACAAUCUAUAUGCAGCACAUUAUGAAGAGUAAUCUCUCUCUUCUUUUUUUUUAAUUUGAUAGAUUAAUCUUUAACUACUAUUUCACUUAGUUUUUUCUUUAAUCAAUUUGAGCAGAUAAUCAUUGACAUGACUGAUGGGGGUGCUGAUUACUGCUUUGAAUGUGUUGGUUUGGCAUCCUUGGUGCAAGAAGCAUAUGCUUGUUGCCGAAAGGUCUGCUUCUAAGUCUCUCACUCUCUCACCCAUAGUGUUGUACAAGCAGAAUUAAUUUGAUUAAACAUAAGCUCAAUGUGACUAGGGUUGGGGGAAAACAAUUGUGUUGGGAGUGGACCAGCCGGGGUCACAGUUGAGCCUGAGCUCUUUUGAGGUCCUUCACAGUGGAAAAAUUCUGAUGGGAUCAUUGUUUGGAGGUCUCAAAGCUAAAUCUGAUAUUCCUAUUCUUUUGAAACGUUACAUGGAUAAGGUAAUUUAACCAUUAAUAUAAUGCUUAUUUACACACACACACACACACACACACACACACUUUUGCGUAGCCUAGCUUCCCAAAGAUCUUAUGUUAUGGUAGGUUAUAUAAUGCUCAUUACUUUUGCAUAUUCUUGCCUUGCCUAGCUCACAAAAGAAUCUUAAGUUCUAACUCUAUGGCAAUAAAUUAAUAAUGGUAGUUUUAUAAUGUGGUUCUAGACUUCUGUAUGCUCUCUUCUAGGCUUCACGAUUAUAGACUAAAUCGUAUGGUGACAUAUUAUUGCCAGCACAUCUUUGAUAAUACUAGUAGUGGUCUUAUGUUCCUUUUUCAGGAACUAGAGCUGGAUAAGUUUGUCACUCAUGAGAUGAAGUUUGAAGAAAUCAAUAGCGCGUUUGAUUUACUUAUAAAAGGAAAGUGUCUCCGUUGUGUGAUAUGGAUGGGCGAAUAAGAUUUCUUGCAUUAUUUUCUUGUAUGUACUUUCUCCAAUAAUUACCUCUCAUAUCUAAGCAAAUUGACCAACCAUUUGUGAUGGACCAUGUGUAUAUGAUACAAGAUUCGUUGGUUGAAUAAGUGACUUCUGAAAAAUUUUAAAUUUGAAGAAUCUUUUUUACCUUAUGACCAAGAGCAAUUUAAUUAUGUUAGGGCUUACCAGCUUUGUAUCUAGAGAUAGAAUGCGUUUGGUAUCAAGCAGAAUUAUAUGCCUCUUUUCUUAUAAUGGAUUCGUAUUCUGGGUAAAACUGCGCUAUUUUAUUGACCUUACAGAAAGUAUAUCAUUGAUCAGUUUCCUCGAUCCUCAACCUCUCAGCAUUUGAAUUGGAAGAAUCGCUGGCUGCACUAAUAUCAUCUGGAUACCUGUUAGGGAGCUUUUCUGUUAGUCCAUUUAACAAGUAGCAAUGAACGAUUUAAGUCACACGACAAAUUGCUUCUAGCACAUUUAUUUGGGAGCACUUGGCUAGGUAUCGUUAACGGGAACAUCAAAUUGAAUUUAUUACGUGAAAAACUUUUUUCUUUCAUUAUCAUAAUAAUUGCGAUAAUAUUGAUCGACCCAAAAAUAGAAAAUAGUUAAUGGGAACAUCAAGUAGAAUUUAUUACGUGAAAAACUUUUUUCUUUCAUUAUCGUAAUAAUUGCCAUAAUAUUCACCGACCCAAAAAUAAACAAAUAGGUGAGUGACAUAUUUGAGUUUCAAUUUGAAUCAUAAUAUUAUGUAUCAUUCAUCUAUCGUAUGAUAAAUAUAAAAUAACUUAAUAUCUUAUUUUAUUAUUUAAUAAAUAAAUAUUACAUUAAUUGAAAUUUAAGUUAACACUCAAAUGUUAGAAUUCUUAACAUUACCUUAUUAGAAAUAAGCAUAUAAUCUAUUGAUAUCAUACGGUAAAUUUUAAAUUUCAAAACCGGAAGUUUUAAAUGGAAUGAAUGCACCACGUCAUGAAAUAUAAAUAUGUGUUCAAAAUAAUUCAUUAUAUGGAAAUUUGCAAACUAUAAGAUUGUGUUAGGUGGACAUUAGAAUGAUACAGAAUGCUGAUUUAAAUGGAAACUAAAAAAACCCACCACGUCACCAGAUCUGAUGAAUAAUUUGUAACGGAUAAAACCUUUAAAUGGAAACUUGCAAGUGAUAGCCAUUCCCGCUUUCACUUUCUCGCAAUGCUCUCAAUAUCAUUGUUCAGUUCAGUGGCAUGGAUAUUGAUAUCGAGAAGAAACCGUCGAGUAAAAUCGCCGGGAAACCAAUUCGAUUACAGAGGCAGUGAUUGCAAACAAAUAUAAAGAUAAUAAUUAAUAUUUUCAUUUUCUCAAAAGUCAUCCGUAUUUCUCGUCCUGGUCUUGAAAAUCUGCGGCCGCAAUUGCUAGAGCGGCAGGGGGCAGGAGAGCCUCUUGAUGUAUAGAAGAGGUUAUUGUGGACGCUCCAAAAACACACGAAGUUCGACUACGGAUCACCUGUACGAGCGACAUCACAUUCUGGAAAAUGUAGGUCUCUAAUAUAUAUCUUACAACUAUUAUCUUCAAUUUGCUGAAAUAAAUUUAAGCUUUAUGCUAUGAUCUUACAAAUCCGUUCAACACGUCAUACGGGAGAAAGGCAGGAUUUUACCUUGGUUGGCCAUGAAAUGGACGCGCUGCUCAGCUUGUUUAUGGCCCGUGAAUUCAGCCUUCUGUUCUUCUAAUUUGUAGCAAGUCUUGGCUUCAAUCGCAGCUGCAAAAUCAAGCUACUCAUUCACUGUACAUACACGCACGGUGGGAGAGAGAGGAGAAAAGAUGCACUGCACUUUUUCCUUAAUAUCAAUCUUGAACAGUGAAUUCCCUUAAAUAUUGUGGGGGCGUUCAUGAGUUGAUACAAAAUUGUUCAUCUCAUUACAAACUAAAAUAAUAUAAUUAAAGGUUAUAUUUAUUUAUAAUAUGCGAUUAUAAAGGAUGUAAUAAAAUUAGACUGGUAAACACAAUAUAUAAUCACUUUAUAAAUGAGUGUAUAAAAAUUACUCCUUAUUAUUUGACAUCAGUCAUAUAUUAAUUUGAUAGAAUAAAAAACAAUUAGAAUAAUUUAUACUAGUCCACAAUAUGUUAUAAAUAAAUCCAAGAUAAUUAUGUCACAUUUUAUUUAUAUUAUUUUAUUUUGUUGUUAAUAUAUACUGUAUAUUGGUUUUAUCUUUCUUCAUGGAAUUUCGGUUGUUUUUCCAAAAAUUCUAUGGUCACAAGGCUAUCAAGUAAGAAAUAAUAUAUUGUCGAGUGUUCUACCUUUCAACCUACCAUUUUUAUGAAAAAAAUAGAAUUAUCAAGUAAAAGUUUAUAAUUUACAAUGAAUAUGACUCUUAAAUAAUAAUUUUGAUAAAAAUAAUAAAAAUAUCAUAGGUUUUUCAUUAUAUAAAUAGUGGAUCAAAUCAACUUAACUUUCAGGUUAUAACUGCUAAUGUUUACCGAUAACUUUAAUGUUAUAUCUUUUAACCUAUAAUUAUCCAAUCUCAACAAAUAAAGGUCAUAGUGAACCGCGUUAUUUAAGAUAUUGCAACCAUCCAUAUUAAUCAAGUAGAAAUUAAAUUGAAUUAGUAUCACUAUCACUAUCUAUUGUCAGUGCUAAUAACGCAAGAAAUUUAAUAUUAGCUGCUAGAAUCAUGAUAACGAGAGAGUUUGCCAGGGGACGAAUAAUUAACAAUAAUAGUACGUAUGCAGAAUUGUGAAGAGUGUUAGGGAGAAUGAGGACGAAAUAGGAGAGGGAGAUAUUGUCAUCCCACACUUUGUAGCAGAUUCGACCGAACGUGUAGACUGUAGAUCAAAGAAGAGCAACCUAUGUUCAUCAUUCCCCUUCGAGAUCUCUUCUUGGAGGAUGCCGAGAGAUAGGACAAACAGGUUCAAAGACCUAAGUGGAGAGACCAGACACCAUUUUCUGUCUCUUUGAAGUUUUUCCAGGGUACCCUGCUGUAGACGUUGCCCAUCUACUCAAAGUUGAUUCUACUGUCCUCCAAAUAGGGCACGCCUUCUAAGCUUUGAUGUGUCAACAAGAAGCAGUCAUUCAGUUUGUUCUGUAUCACUUGCUUUUUAAUUUGGUUGAAUUCGACAAUUCCAACAACUCCUAUUUCGAUUUUUACAGGCUUGGAAAACAGCAUAUGUGGAGGCUGGAUCAACCGCUAUUAUAGUUGGCCUUAUCUUGUACGGUACACAUUAAUUUGUUUGGUUGAGUAAGUGUUAUGUGAUAUAAUUGCUAAAAUAUAUAUGCUCAUAGUCAUAGAUAUAGAUAAUACAUUUUUGUUAUAAUAUAGAGGUUGCAAAGGUUGCAAGACUGUGCGGUGGCACAAGGAUUACAGAUGUGGAUGUGAAUCAAGAGAAAUUUGAAAUUGGUGAGUGAGAUUCUAAUGAUAUACAGUAUUUGGCAUUGGUUUGUCAGGGGAUAAUGGACACAACAUCGUGAGAUCAACCAUUCCAAGCUUUUGAUGUGUGGGCACCAGUUCUAUUUUUAUAGGCCACCGGAAACCAUGAAUUCUGAUUGAUAUUCAUCCACCUACAACAAAAAAAAAAGCUCGGAGUAACAGAGUUUGUAAAUUCUAAAAACAGUGGGGAUAAAUCGGUAGGUGACGUCUUGCCCUCUCAAUCGAUUAUCAUACUCUCUGGCUGUAAUAUUUUAAUUCUAUAAUGACUAAGGGCGUAGCCAGCAUAGGACCAGGUGGGGCACAUGCCCCAACUGGCUUUUAAAAUUUUUUUUUAUUGGUUUUCUGAAAAAAAAAAUCUAUAUUUUAUUUAUUAUUUAUAAAAAUACCUCAGGUGAAUUGCGAAACUUUGAAAAUGCCACAUGUAAUUUUAAAAAAAUUUUAUAUUGCCCCCAACUUAAAUGCCAAAUUCUAAAUAAUUUGAUUAGCUAUUAUAAUUUCAUAAAAAAUAAUAAAGACAAACAAGAGAACCAUUUAUCAAAUGAAAUCCAUUAAAAAAUCAAUUAAAAUAAGUGAAAUCUAAACUUUACUCUUUUUUUUCCGUCUCUUCCAUGGAAUAAAGUGUGGUGGGUGGACUCCAUAGCAGUCAUCACCAUGUGCGUGGAUUUCUUCUCACUUUUCUUCUUACUUCAAGAGUUAAACAUUCAUUUUAAUAAGGUAAACACUGAAUUACUUUGUUGCUUGGCUUGUUUAUGUCCAAAAGAUUCAUUUGCAGCUUUUAAUAAAAAAAAGUUAUUGCGCCUUGCUCAACUUUAUCCAAGAGAUUUUUCUCCAGUUGAUCUCAUGGCACUAGAUAUUCAACUUGAUGUUUACAUAAUGGAUAUGCAAUCUAGUGUUGAGUUUUCAGGAUUAAAUGGGAUUAGCAAUCUUGCACAAAAAAUGGUUAAGACUAACAAGCACAAGAUGUUUUCAUUGGUCAAUUUAUCAGUCACAUUAUCAUUACUUUUACCAAUUGCCACCGCUACUGUUGAAAAAGUUUUUUCAACUAUAAAUUAUGUAAAGAAUCGACAACGCAAUUAAAUGAAAGAUAAAUGGUUGAAUGAAUGAUAAUCUGGCAGUAUACAUUGAAAAAGAUUUAUUUGAUUGCAUUGAUAAUGAAACUAUUUUACAACAUUUUCAACACAUGAAAUCCCAUCAAAGAAUUAUCGAUUAGAACAAUUGUAAUAAGUAAAUUUAUUAUUAAUUUAUAUUAUAGUUGUGAUUGUAUUUACUGUAAUCUAAAUUUUCAAAAUUUAUUAUCAAUUUAUAUUAUAUUGCGAUUCUAUAUGUUGUAAUAUAAUUUUCAAAAUUAUACUACAUUUUUAGUGUGCCCCCAGAUCAAUUAAAUUCCUGGCUACGUACCUAUGACUAACUACUAAGCUUUAAUAUUUACUCGGUCGUGUCUUUAUGACCAAUUUGAGCAGGUAAUCAUGGAGACGAGUAAUGGGGUUGCUGAUUGCUGCUCUGAAUGCGUUGGUUUAGCAUCCUUGAUGCAAGAAGCAUAUGUGGAUCGUUGCUCCAACGGCGUAAAGACACUUCUGGAGAAAUAUCGCUUAUGUUGUUUCCCUCGGUCGACCAAGCUGGCGUGUUAUCUUCUGCUUUCUCAGAGAAUUCCCAACAAUCAUCACCAGCAUCCAAAGCUGCUGAAUCUGCUUCUACACAUGAAUAGAUAGGUAUUCACACAAAAGGAACUUAUGAACAGAAAAAUCUAUUGUACACUUUCAUUCUACAGUAGCGCAAUUUCAAGAAUAUCCUUAGUAGAAUGCUAAAUCAAAUUAAGCUAGUAGAAAGUAAAGCUUCAAACUAAUUGACAUAAUUAAUCAAUUAAUUACAAAGAGCCCCAUUUGUUGUUUCAUUUAUCAAAUGAAUUUGAAUCCAUUACCGGUCUCUUAUAUAUAAUUUUUAGUGAGAAAAAUAAAAAUAAAAAAUAGAAUUCGCAAACCAGAAGGUGAGCUGAAAAAAUGACGGCGAAAAGCAGUAAACUGAGCAAAGACAUUAGCAGCGUCAAGAUAAUCGCCAGCUGAAAUCCAAACCGAAACCGCCGCGCUGCGAGCAAAACCCAAAACCUCUCGAGGCCGAAACAAAUCGGAACGACGCCGUUCUUCCAAGCUCGACAAAACAUUUUUGCCGGACAACUUCAGGGCGUGAUUCAGCAAGUCGUCGUUCGUGCACUUGCGGACGAGGGAUUUGAAAUUGGGCUCGAAAGAAACCACUUCCGAUUCGAUGAAAUAUCGACAGCGAGGGCAGUUUUGAGAAUUAAUAUUAUUAUUGUUGUUGUUGUUCGAGGAGAAGGAGACUAAGAUGCCGAGAGAGUCUUGCCUGAUAACAACACCCGGCCACCAUUGCUGAGGAUACACUAUUCUUGACCACACUAUCUCUCCCCUCUCAAUUUUUGAAUUUCGCUCCUCCUUCUCCAUUUUAAUAACAGCCAUCAGCUUCCCUUUUACGAUUCCAUUCUCUUGCGCAGAUUGAUGUCCAGAGAAGUUUGGGGGGCCACUCACCAGUUUCAUCAAUAAAAAGUUAUUUUCUUAUUAUUGUUGAUCACCAUAUUAUUUCUAUAUAUUUUGGUUAUAUCAUCUUCAUUGUACGUAUGAUGUGUCUCUUAUAUUUCCAAAAUUUAAUGUGAAAAAAAUAUUAAUCGGCCAAUAUGUUUUUAUUAUGAUGGUGGGAUCGAUUAGAUUUAUGAAGAUUAAUUAUUUUUUUUCAAUCGUGCGGCAUUUUCCUACUAAGGUUUUAGAUUUUUAUUAGGUUUGGUAUGCCAAUGCCAUUAUGCAUAUGACUAGAUUGAGAUAGUCUAAUAUUUAGUAUUGUCUCGUAUUUAGUGUAUAGUUAGUAAUAUGGAUGGACAAAUUAAUAAAUUUAUCAGCCUGCCUAAUCAUUAGUAAUUGUAUUAAGUCAUGCAUUAGCAUACAAGAUGCCUAAUUUAAUACAAGUGAGGUUUGCCGUUGGGCAGCUUCAUAUUAUUUAAUUUUCUUGUACAAGAAAGUAGAAUAAUCACCCAUGCGGAAGCCCAUGCGUGUUCUAUGUAUUAUGGUAGCUAGCUUUAUAUUGUGACUCUACGCAGUCCUCAAUUUAUAUUAAUCAUCCAGUGCUGCCAAAAUAUUAAAUACAAAUGAUGUUUGGCGUUCGGCAGCUUCAUAUUAUUUAAUUUUCUUAUUCAAGAAAGUAGAACAGUCAGUCACCCAUGUAUGUAUAUAUAAAAUCUCCUAUGAGACUGUAAACGCACUAGAUGCACCCGUGAAGUAGUGAUUUGUAGAAUUAACUGCUUUCUUAGAUGACCCAAAAUGCCGUAGCCGAUAAACUCCGGGGAUAGCCUUCGUCGGCACUUCCCAUUCAAUGGUUGCUAAGCCAUGGAAACUAGUAUUCUCCAAACUCCACUUGAAAUACAGGGAGAAAUCGUCAUCGUCAUAAACCGGAAUCCAUCGCUUCCCCUGAAGCAUUUCAACCACAGCAUAUGUUCCUUCUGUUAACAGAUCAUACCUAGGGUUGGCACUCCAAAAUGUGGCACUUGGUCUAUCGCCCUUGUUAAAUGAACCGUCUUUUGGUUGAUUGAUAUCUUCCUUUAUGUCACCAAACAUUUUGCCUGCCGGAGGCGAGUCUCCGGUUGGGUUUAGUGAAAGGCUGAGUUGCACGGAUGAAAGAUCCGGUGGCGAAGGACCCUUCGUGGUUUUUUCUCCUUUUGCCAUUGCUUGUGCUAAUUUUUUGAAUUCUUGAAUGUAUGCUGGCAAUGUGUGGGGUCCGUAAAGCGUUGACGCAGCCUGCAGCACAUAUCAUUUUGGCAUCGAUCGAUGUGAUUAGAAUAGAAUUUCUUCCGUCAAAUCCUAAAAGAUUUUUCUUAUUUAAUUUAUUUUAAUUUGGAAUAAGUACCUCAUAUCGUUGAUGUGCGUAUUCUUCGAAUGUUGCAAUGUAUUGUGAAUAAGCGUUUGUAAGUCCUGCUAUUACGAUGUGGGUGUCAUUAUCAAAUUCCCCAUUUCCAUUAUUUAUUAGAGUGUCCUUAACUGCUUCCCGUAAUCUUCGACCCGCCAUUGUUGUAAACUCUGCACUUUCAAAUAGUUAAAUCUUGCCCCACAACAGAAUAUUAAUCACAGUUUCUUUGAAGCUAAACUAUACUUGUUAUUAAAAGAAAAAGUUUAACCCAUUUACUAAAAGCAAAGCUAUACAUACACCAUUUUGAUAAAUAGAGAAGGAAUUUGCGUAUAACUGAGCUAACCUCCCGGUACAGAAAGUAUGAUAAGCUUUCCCAACCUCAGAAUUUGAAUUGGGAGAACCGCUGGCUGCAUUGAUAUCAGAAAUAUGAUUAUCAGAAAAUGUUCUUUUAAGCUGCCAAAUUGCUGUCUAAUAACUUUAUUUUCUUUUGGCUCGGAGUUUCCAAGAUUAGCAAAUUCAUGCACAAGAAAAAUUCAGCACGUUACCGCCCAUGCAUAAGGUUCAAACAUUUCGCCGGAGGAUAGCAGAACAGCCUUUGGCUUUUGACAUUCCUCCUGAUACUGGCUUGGCUUUUUCAAUACGUCCCUCAACUGUUUCCACAGUUUAUUGAUCUAAAAACAUUAAAUAACGAGACAAAAAAAUCACGGGUUUAAAUACCUUGUUCAUUUAACCAAAAAGAAAAAGAUCUAUUGACAAUCAAAUGCCUGAAUCGGUGAGCCCUGACCUCUGUAUCACCUUGUUGAAAACCAAACACACCAGGUCCAUCUGUAGUUCCGGCGGCGAACCCUGGGCCUAGGGCUGCAGGGCAAGUCUUGACUGUGUUGUUUCCUGUUCCAUCCAAUACAACCUCAAUAUUUGUGAAGUUUAUGUAGACAUGACGAUAAUCAAUCUUUCCGCUCAAUUGAUCGGUUGCAGAAUUGAAUAAAUCAACAGCCUUUUGGAAUUGCCUUUCUCCUAUUAUCUUUGUGCUUAAUAUUUCGUCUGGAUACCUGUUAAAAUAGUUACAGAUUAGUUUAACAUGUUGAGCAAAAAAUUCAUUAGUUUCUUUGAAUGAAUUGAUAUAUUAGUACCCAGGUCCACGGCCUAUGCAGAGCUGGUCAUCGCCAUGACAUGAUGAGUGAUUGAAGUCACAAGGCUUUCCACUAUCAAUGCAAAAUGCUCCUAGCACAUUUGGGGUCACAUCUCCAACAUUUGAUUGGCAAAACGCUCCCACAAAUAGCGAUCCAUCGUUCUUCCUCACUUUGAAUCCUUGGCUUGUUGUUUUUCCACAUUGCUGUCCUCCAGUGGCCUUGAUUGUUUUCGAUUUCUCCAUCAAUUUGCCAAUAUCUAUUUCAAAUGAAUACUGCACAUGAGUUAAAUCUCGCAGUGAUCAUGGAAUCCUAAUUUGAACAAAAAUGAAAUCAAGAUUUUUCUUGCAACAUGGACAUCUAUUCAUCUAGUUGGAAGCUGCCGUUUCAGCUACAAAUUUUGAAUGCCCAAGGUGUUUGAUAUGUAUUGUUAACAAUAACCGAAUGGGUUAAAAGUUACAGCACCCUAUCCCGACCCGAACGGCUCUUCUGUGUUAAAACAACUUACCCGAUGAGGUAGAAAACUUACUGGUUGUUGUGGAGGAAGAUUCGUUUUUGGAACUGAACCAGUCUUCAAAGAACCUGGCAGCAGCGCCCUUGUUGUCUCCGCUGAUGAGCAAAUUGUCUCUGGACAUAGAGGUGCCGUGUGUAGCAUACCAAUUGAAGGCUCCUAUGCUCUUCCCGCUUGCUGCAUCAACAAAUUUCAGAAGGGUCAUUUCUUUGUCAACGUUUUCUGGGUAUCGAGCCCUCUCCUCCGCUGGAUUAAGCAGAUAUGCACUUGGACUCCUGUUUAUUCCAGCAUUUUCUACGUCCCCUGAAGCAUAAACAAGACAAAUGACAUGGAAAUCAUUUUGUUAAUUUGCUUAAGGAUAUCGAUUCAAUGCAUGCGCAAACAGCUUCAAAACUGAACACGGACCUUUUCUAAUGAAAAUUGAACCAGGCUUUAAAUUGUUGUGAGCCUGAACAAUGCUCUGGACAAUUGCGGUGACAAUGGCAUCAAACGAUUGUUGGACAAAUCCUAGAGACGUGAUAGAGUAAAUCAAGUACUGCAAGUAACCCCCAGGUCCGGCAUGAGUAUGGAUUCCACUGAUUGCUAUGUUCUCUUCAGUAUACAAAUUUCCAAACCUUCGAAACGAGUAACAUUAUAUGAGAUCACCAAUUAAGCAAAUUCUGACAUCUUAAGGUGCUUUUUAAGUUUCGCUUGGCUUAUUUACUGUACCUUGUUUUAAGUUUCUCUAGCACUUUAGUAGUAACAAGUUGUGAAGCCAUGCCGGCAUCAAGAUUCACAAAAGCAAAUCUUGUUCCGUUGGAACUCUCGGCCACAAUGAAAGUUCUAGCUCUAAGACGGAAAUGAAUCCCUGCAGUAUUUUGGAAAAGAUUGGCAUAACCCAUCAUGUUUAUUCCAGCAGCGGGACCUGUCAUGUCAUAGCUCCCUACUCCGACCAAAUACUGACCAUCUGCACUUCUUAUUAGAGCAAAACCAAAAACGAUAGCAAUAAUAAGUGACAGAAAAUACAAGUGUUGGUUUAUUUUGCUAACCAUAAUUUCUUUGUGGGACCUGGAUUGUAAAAUCCGGUAGUCAUGAAGUUGUUGUAUAUAAAGAUACGGAGUAUGGAAUUUCUUGGACUUGUUGACACAAAACGUUUCUUAGUAUGUCGUGAUUAGAUUCUUCGUCUUAUUGUCAACGCCUCACUUGAAAAAUAGAUUGUUCGCUUACUUUGUCUAAGAUGUCCCGAGGUUGAGUUGGCACCAAAGAAUCUCUUCUUGGGUUGCUCCGCACGCGGAGAGUGACGAGGCCCGUUCUUGUCUAUCAUCGGGUAUUUAUUAUUCUGUUUACAUGCUUUAUCUGAAUCAUAUAAUAUGAUCAUAGUGCUUUACAUUCAAUUCAAUGUUUUAUUGCUAAUGUACAAAAUUGAUGGGUUUCGCAAUUAAGUAAUAUGCUAUUGGAUCAUCUCAAUAGCGAAUUAAUGGACAUGGGACUAGUCCAGAUUCCAAUUUGUACUCCUUAAUGGGUCUCGUUAUCUAGUGCCAACAUACUAUUACUUCUUCUCAGCAUGCAUCAAAAAACUAAUAAAUUCUGUCGUGUAUUUAUUUGGGUUGAAAUCUGCCAAAUAAUUACAGCCGGUUCCUUCUAAAAAAAAAAAAAAAGAAAGCUGGUUGCUAUAUAUAUUAAGUGAAUAAAUAUUGUCAUCAUCUACCCGUUGAUUGUAUCACCUUCUUCCUACAAUUAUAGACUUUUUGAACGCAAUGACUUAGAACUAGAGCUGGCAAAAUUUGACACGACCCGAUUACCCGACACGAACACGACAUAAAUAAAUGGGUAUGGGUCAUCAAAUUUAACACGAUUAUUAAAUGAGUUGGGUCCGGGUCAACACGAUUUUUUUCCGUGUCGGGUUUGGGUUAAAAUUCUUGACCCAUUUACCCGAUCAAUGACCCGAUUAUAUUUUCUAUUUUAAAAUAAUUUACAUAUUCUUAUAAUUAAAACUCAAAUAUUAGAGAUGAUUUUCUUUUUUUUUAUUCUUUAAAAGGGUGAAUAUAAACACAAUGUUUUAUUUAUAAAAUUUUACAUACAUUUAGAGCUUCAAUAGUGUAAAUGUGUAAAAAUUGAUAGACAUGUAUAUUUUAUAAUAUUGAUAUAUAAUAUUAUUGAUAUAUAAUAUUAUAUAUAUAUAAUUAAAACCUCAAUAGUAUACAUGUGUAAUAUAUUGGUAGAUAUGUAUAUUUUAUAAUAUCGAUAAAUUAUGUAUGUAUGUAUUUAUGUACAUACGUAUGUAUGAUAGUGUGUAAAUAUUUGAUGUAACUUUUGUUCAAUAUAUAAAUAUUAAACGGGUUAUUGGGUAAUCCGAUUAUUUUUUCGUGUCGGGUUUGAGUCUCAAUAUUUUGACAUGAUUAUUAAAUAGGUCGGGUUUGGGUCGACCUAAAUUUGACACGACACAAAACUGACACGACACGAACACGACUCGAUGAUCCAUUUUGCCAGCUCUACUUAGAACCACCCAACUCGCGUUAAUCAUUUAGUCAUGGACAAUUACAUGGGUUUAAUUUAAAACCGAUUGGGCGAUAAUUUGUUACCUAAUGUCAGAAAUAGCAAAACGACAAGGAAUUAGACCUCAAAAAAGAAAAAGAAAAAGAAAAAUCAUAUAUCGUCCGCACAAAACUUAAGAAAGAAGUUUUUGGGGACAGCUCACGAUUUGGACUUAUAACUUCUGUUCUUCUCAUUUAAAUAUGCAGAUGAAAUGAUAGAUGAAUCGUCUUUUCAAAAUUAGAGCCUGAUUCAAAUUAUUCCACUUAUAACGAAGACGCUAGAGAUCUAAAGAGUUACACGUCCAGAGUCUGCAUGGACCCGCUAUUACACCUGGCCAUAUUCAUCGUUCAUCAGUCGAGUGGCCUUUCAAUUAAGAUUCUCAAAAAUUUAAGGCCGUCUAUUUAUUUUCACUUCAUAACUGUGUCACUCAUUUAAUAAAAUUUAAUAUUUUCUCUCUAUAAUUUUUAACAUAAUUUUACAAAAUCAAUAGUUUUACAUGCUUAAUUUUUUAAUCAAUUUUAUUUUUAAAUAUAAAUAAAUGAUAUUUAAGAUAAGAAAAUAUAAGACAAAUCUAUUGAUUAAGAUAUAUAAACAAUAUAAGAUAAUUAAUUAUGUCAAAAAUAAAUAAUCAUAUUUGAAAUUCAAAACUUAAUUCUAGUACAGUGAUUAAUAAGAUUAACAUGAACCAACUUAUCCAGUAAUUGUAUAAAUUUAAUCAUCAAAACUCAGAUCUAUGAAUCGUGUCAGAUUUUGCAACGUCAGACUUAUGAGUAUUCUGGGCUCUUCCCAGGGUCCACGUCUACAAAGGUCCACAAUUUACGUGCAUGAUGUCGACUUAUCCGCAAUCAGUGUUUUUCAUAACUUUAAUAUAGAUGACUGCUGUACCGUACAUCCGCCUUGGCCGUACAGCAGUUUAUAGCAAUCAAAGCAUCAUUACAAUUUACAAGCACGCAGGUGGUACCCAGCGUUCACACCAAAGUUUACCAAAACUCAUACAGCAAUGAAACUAUUUCACGUUAUUCAUCCAAGUACAUAAACAGCACUUAUACAUUAAGCAUAAAAUCAAAUGGUAAUAAAGGCAAAUUUAAAAAAAAAAAAAAAAGCAUUACAAAGGAGAAAGAACUGAACAAACCACACAAACAGGAGACCGGCAAAAACAGUAAUUGUAUCAAACACAUUACAAAUUUAAUCUUCUUAAUUAAUGGGCAGCAGUUUCUUUGUCCUUAUCCUUUUCGUCCUCAGACUUUGGGUGGUAGCCAGGGAGCUUCUCCUUGAGUUUCUCCAAUAUGCCCUUCUUCUCCUUGGCCUCUGCCUCAGGAGCCUCGACUGAUGUGGGGUGCUCAGCAGCAGGAGGAGAAGGGACCUGAUGAUCUUCAGGUUUCUUUUGCUGUCCUGGUAGUUUCUCCUUGAUCUUGUUGAGAAAUCCUUUCUUUUCUUCAGGAUGGGCUUCUUCCUGGUGGUGGGGAGCAUGGACAUCAUCAAGUUUCUCGACAGGGACUGUCGUGUCCUCUUCUUUCUCACCUGAUAUUUUCUCCUUGAGCUUCUCCUUCAGUCCCUUCUUUUCCUUCUUCUUCUUCUUCUUUUCCUCAUCAUCGCCCUCCUCCUCAUCGCUUGACUGCACACACACACACACACACACACACCAAAAAAACAAUUUAAAAUACGAUACUUAGGAUCAUUCGUUCAGAUUGUUUUUAUUUUUUUAUCAUAAAUUAAGAUGAUUAACAAAUGAAGAAACAGAAACUUACAGAGCUAGAGCUGCUGGUGGAUCGGUGAAGUUUGUCUAAGAAACCGGGCUUCUUCUCUUCCUCUUUCUCCUCCUUCCUGUGUUCCUCUACCUUUGGCUGAGGCUCAGAGACAUGAACUUUCUCAAACUCGGUGGCGAUCACCUCCUGAUCGUGAUGUUGAGGUUUCUCCUCUUCUUUCUUCCCCAAGAAAUCAAGCAUCCCGCGAUCCUUGGUCUCCACUGCACCUUCCGUCCCAACACUCGGCUCGUACUCAUGGCUCUUCUGCUGCUUCUUGAUCUCUUCAGCCAUACUUGUCAAUUAUCACUCACAAACAACAAUUUUUAACAACAGAUCAACGGACAAGAACACAGAGAUAUGUGGUAUGUGCAAUAAAGUAAGUUUUCGAGCUUCUUUAAGGAAUUUUUGCUUACUUAAGACACAGAGUACGUGUGCUUUUAUAGUGUCACACCACGCGGAUCUGACGCGAUUAAGAGAAUAUAAAAGCCCAUUUGGAUUAGCCAAUCACAACUAGCUCCAGUGACCGACGUGUACCUUAAGACAAAGCAGAAAACAACCAAUCCACUCUCUCGAAUAACUUAAAAACCAUUACUCGCUUUCUCUUAUUGACAGCUGUCUAUCGCUGAACGUGUCGAAUCCUUAAGGCGAGUGGAGGGGCUUGAAAAGAGGAGAACGGCGAUUUAACGGACAAAAGAAGAAAGUAGAAAAAUGGAGAGGGAGACACGCUGUACCGUAAUGGUGGUGCUGGGAUACGACCGAAAGAAGAGGUGCCACGUGUAAGAAGAACGUGAAUGGUUGUCCUCGGUGGGACCCGAAAGUGUCGGUCUUUGAGAGGAUAAAUUAGCGAAAGGUCGGUGUGGAGGCCCAGCUAAUACUUUCAGGUGGGGGCCACGUGGCAGUUGCGUCUAUGUGAAGAAGUGUGGGAGUUUCGAGAUUUGCGCGACUGCUUACUGGUUGGUGUUCUACUUUCCUGCGCAAAUUCAUUUUAUAACUGGGCUGAGUUAAGUUGAUGCUUUCAAACGUUGCACCUUACCAAGGAGCGUUUGCUUUGGGGUUGCUUGCGGACAUUUGGCCGGUUAAGAUGUCGCUAAUUCCUUUCUAAAGUAGAAAAAAUUAUUUUCACAAUAGUACCAUUUUGUGUGGCCUUUUGUGCCCGUAUUUGAACGCUAGCACGUGACUGGUUCUAAUUGUCUGCUACUGUGAAACUAGGUAAAUCAUUCAUUUUAUAUUGGGGAAUAAACUUAAUCAUCUAGUAGAUAGCGAAUGUCAUUAGUAGCCAAUUCGUAAUGAGCUACGUAAAGGCAGGCGGGUGUGAGUUUCUCAUUUAUUUUUCUUUAGUGUAUGGGGUAACUGUCAGAGCCAGAGGGAGCUUUAUUCAUAUUCGACAAAAGUAUUCUGACACUGUUGAAGAGUCGUUCCCUACUUCCCUUACUCCCCCACUGAAGGAGGGCCACGGAAUUACACCGCCCACAUCCCAAGUUCUGACGAACUACUCUUGAGACAUGGGGAAGUUUGGGUUAGACUAGUUAUGUCUAAAGCCCAUUUUGUGCCUAGUUUAGUAUCAUGGUUUUCGGAGUUGGGUUUGCAUUCGUUUUCAAGUCUGUUUGUACUUGCGUUGGCGGAGACAUUUUAGGGGGGAGAAGAGUUUCUGUUAUGCAUGCAAUUCAAGGGGGGGUUUUGAACGAAUAAAGUUAAGAGGAUACAAAGGAAUUUUGAAAGUGGAAACCUCACUUGAGGAGAUUAUUAGGAUGGUCAAAUUGAAAGCAGCUUCAUUUCAUGACUUACAGUUACAACAAUGAUGUAGUUAAUUAAAAAGACAAAUACUUGCAAUGAAAUCAAAUCACGUUCAAAAUUCAAAUCCAAUAUCUCUAGUCCUGUGAAUCUGCAAGUAUCCACAAAAUUGAAUUUUGGCUUUCUCCAUCUUAAAUUUAAUGAAUCAAGAGAGGAAAAAAUGUGGGAAGCUAGAGAGUCAACUACUUCUACCUAUUUCUCAAAGCAAAUGAAAAAUCUUAUCUUUUCCGUGCCCAGAGUCUUUUCAAACCCCGUCAUUUAGGCUGAAUCUAGUUGCUUUAAUUCUUGUAAUAAGAGACUCCGUAGCAUUACAUACACCUCUCCUCGCAACCAACUUCACCCUGAAGUUAUCAUGUAACAUUUUCAUCCUGUUACCAUCACCAUCUAACUCACGCAGCUGAACGGCCUGCUUCCUUGUUACCAAACCAUAGAGACAGAGAUGACCAGAAUCAAAAUUUUCACCUUGGAAUUUGACCCUUAACAAGGCAUCAGAUUCUAGAUCAAUAGACUUUGGAUCAAACAACGCAGAGAAGCUCCCAAACGUCAGGUCAGGGGUCUCAAACAACUUAUCCAAAUUACCAUUGUCCUCACUCUCAUUAUAUGCUUUAUUAGUUAGAGCCAAUGACCUCCUUUUGGCCACUCUAAGUAUGCUAGCAGCCUCUCUCAUCCCACUUAAAAAGGCUCCAUGCAUUGUCGCCGGAUAUUGUUUAUUAGUUGCUUCCCCUGCAAAGAAAACUCUCCCAUCCCCUACAGUCUCCGCAAGAAUAUCAUAAUCAUCACCCGAAGAACCAACGGCAACAUAAGAGUAAGACCCAUAUGAGAAUCGAUCCUUCCCCCAACGAGUACAGAUUGCCUGAACUGGAUCUGGAACAACAAUUCCUUUUGGAUGGUAAAUACCUCUCAGUAUCUCUAAUACUUUAUUCACAGACUCUACCGGUGACAUUUCCUCAAACUUAAUCGCAGCAUCCCCAGCAACAAGAGCCACGAGAAGUGGACCUCCUGAUACAGAAGAAUAGCUAUAAAAUAAAAAGAACUCACCUCUCAUACUUGAAUCUUCUGUCAAAUGCCCAAAUGUAUCAAUCUCUCCACCCCAAAAAUUAUGUGGAAACAACAUUGCAACUUUAUUAAGCAAUCCAUAUCCUAAUCUCUGAAUUGCAUCUUUCUUCCGCUGAGGAAGCUCAGGUACAAACUCAAUUGUUCCCUUCUUAAGCACACCUAAUGGUACUGUACAAAGAACCAUGUCCCCGCGAAACUCCUGCCCACCAGCAUAAACCAUAACCCCAUCAACACCGUAUCUAAUACUCUGCACAGUCCGUUGAUAAAAUAUUGGAAGAUCCUCAGCAAGUGCUCUAACAAACCAUUCAUUGCCUCCAGGAAUAAAGCAAUGAUCACCACCCAUCUCAUAUGGAUCAUCCUGAUCCCAAUAAGCCAUUGACAAAUUAGACAUCAAGGAAGCAUUUGCAUACUCCAAAUUUGCUAAAUGCCAAUUCAAGAGCAUUCUCUCUUGCAAAUCCUCAGCAACUUUAUAAACAUUUCUAAAAGCUUCAAGUGCAACGCCUAAUGGAACAUCUACAGAUUUAAAUUCCUCAAUCAUAUCAUGUCUAAGCUUGCAAACUCUAUCCAACAAUUUAUUAAACGAUACCUCUACUCCAGAAUCAAUAUCAGCAUCAAUUGCUUUACCAUUAGGUAAAUACAAAGGACAAAUAUCUCUCACCUUAUGAAGUGGCAAUUCUAACUGUCUAGCAAGAACACCAAGAGGGUUCCCAUUUAUUCCAGUGAGGACGCUCCCACCAACAUCAGCUGCAGCCACCACUCCAUCACACUUCAUCUUGCGUGUCUUGACACGUCCACCGGGACGUUCCCUGCCUUCCAAAACGACUACUUUAAACCCCAUUGAAAUCAACUGUCUCGCCGCAACUAACCCCGCAAGACCAGCACCUACGAUCACCACAUUACCCCUCUCCACUCUACCAAAUGACCCCAAUUUCACUUCUUUAAUAGGCGGCGCUAGCCCGAAAUUGAUGUACCCAUGUUCUAGUAAAAAAUCAUACGCUGAGUCAACUAGGGUUUUGUGCUCGGAACGAAUUGACUCGAGCGCCUGCUCACGCGUCAACCAGACAGAAACAUUCGAUCUCCAGAGUGAUAGAAUGUGAUUUCUCACGACAAUGUAAUUAGCUUGCUCGGUACCUCCAAUUUUGGAAACUACAUUCGCUUCGAUUUCUUCUUCAGUAAGUGAAUCAACUGGAAAACCAACUGAGAUUGCAAUUAGGGCUUCGGUGUCGACUUCUUUAGCAAGGCAGGAGAAUCUGGGGCGUCGGUUCCUCGCCAAGGAUGGAUUGCCGUUGAUUUCGGUGAAGAAGCGCUUUCUACGGCGUCGUUUCCUCGGGGGCGGGCCCGGCUCGGAAGGGUUAGGGUUUUGGGGCUGUUGGUCUUCUGGAAUUGGAUCAGAAGAGUCGUCUAGCGAGUCCGAAACGGGAGCCUCGAGUGCAGUAUUUGUUUCCGUGGCGUUCUGGAGCUCAUCAGUUUCCGCCUGGGUUUCGAUUUGACUGGGAGAGAGCGUUGCAUCGGUCUCCGGCGAAGACUCGUCGGAAACGACAUCGUCGUUUGCGUUAUCGGAGGGUUCUUGCGGUGUUUCCAUUUUGGGUUUAUCAUAAAGUCCUUCGGCUUAAAAAAUUGCCCGAAAAGACUAUAACCCCAAGUAAAAGAGUGCGCUAAUUUUUGUAAGGGAGUUUGCUGUUUUUUGCUUUUUUGAGUCACGAUUGGGUUAGGGCCUUAAAACGUAGCCCAAUUCUGACGAGCCAAGUUCAACCCGUCAAAGCUGCCGGCUCUGUUUUAAAAAGCAAGCUUAAUUAAACAAGGUUUAAAAUUUAAAAAGGCUAUAAAUUUUGAGAUUCAACAAACUUAAAAGAAAAAGGACAAAAUUAUCGUGGGAGAGGGUGCACGCAAAUGAAGCCAGUGCCUAAACCAAUUGAACGGUGAUGCUCUCUCUUCUGUCCUUGUAUCAGUGCAUCGUUCAAUUCGUCUUUUGGCUCUGCGAAAUCUCCACUCGCAAACGAUUCGUAAAGCAAAUUCUUGACUGACAAACAAAGGUGAAGGCAGCGAUGAUAACGCGAUCAAAUCUGGCAGAACAAUUGAGGGAAUAUCAAAAUCGAUCGAAGCACGAAUGGGCCUCUGUCUCUUUCUUCUCUUCCACUUCUAAUAUCUCUUCUUCUAGGUAUUUUAAUUUUCCUCUUAAUUUGGCAUUUAUUUUAUAAUUUUACGGCUAUGAACAUUUGCUUUGAUAUUUUCUUUGUCGUUUGAUUGUGCGAUUAAAUUAUCGUUGUUUUAAUUCAAACACUUGUUACAAAUUUAGCAUUUAGCUGGAUUGAUUGAUUUAGAGAAUUUUCAUUAGUUUUAAUUCGAAUCCUUAAAUGUAGGUUAGCCAAAAAGUUGGUAAUAAAUAAUUUUUUGAUGCUAAAAAAAAGGUAAAUUAUUGGAUUGCUUAUUCCACGCAAUGGUUAUGGUUAACAUAUGAAAGUGCAAGAAAUCUGUUGGUGCAAAACUUGAUGUGGUGUUUGUGAUGCGAUUAGAUAAAUUCCGUGCUUUCUAAUUUGUGCAAUCUUAAGAUGCCUUUUCACAGUGCCACUUAAAAUAAUGUAUUCAUAUUUUCAAAUUCCCUUUAGUUUUUGUGACUUCCAACUAUAACUUUUGAAUUCUUUGCUGUGUGAUAAGAUUUUGAAAGAAAAUAGUUUUUGCCUGAUUUUUUCUUGCUGCCUCAAAAAUGGCAUUUAAUUAUGGCUGAGGAAAUGAUGAUUGUAUGGAUGUGUGGAGGUAAAGAGAAGAUAAGAAUAUAUCUAGAAAAUGAGGCAAAUUUAAGAAUAUUCUCUGUGGGUGAUUGGUCAAUGGUUAGGGAUUUGAGGAGGCGACAGUGGGAUAAAGAGGUUGAACUUUUGUUUUAGUUCGAAAUGAUUUUACUGCUGAUAACCGUUGAACUAGCACGGAUCAGGUGUUUAUUUCUUGCUUUUGUUAGGUCAAGCUUCUGCCACAUAAAAUAGGAUAUGUUGUUUUAUUUCAGAGGAUUGAAAUUGUAUUGUGAAGGGGUGUGAGUAAUCAUUGGCUUUAUAUCACGUUGGUAACUAUAUGGGCAUGCUCGAUUUUAUUUCUGUUCAAAUAUAUUUUUUUCAUCUCAUCUACAGCUUUGUUUAGGGAGCUCUAAUUUAAACUUUGCAUUUAUUGUUUUCGCUUUGGUGUUUCUUGGUAAGAACGCUUAUAAUAGUGGUUGUGUCUUUUUCCCCGCUUGCUGUGGAUGCAGGGUGGACGUUGUGAUAUUCGUAAUAUGGGAACUCGUCAUUCUGGCUUUCCUGGUCUUUUCAGCAGUUUCAUUAUACUUUAGGCAUAUGCGACUGGCUAUUAUCUUAGUAAGCAUCACAAUGCUACUGCUUUUAUGCAUGAAAGUUACAAAACAAGUGAGAUUGGCUAGGAAGAAGAAACGAAGGAUGCUUCUUCCAUUGUCUAUGUAGAACAAUACAAGUUGAAAAGUUUUUUCAAGUACCCAACUUUUGUUCUGUAAAUCAUGAAAGUUAUUGGUCCGUGCAUUUGGUCUGAGCUUGCAUUGGUUUAUUUGAUUGUGUUGUUGCACCCAGAGCACAUUGAUUGAAGAAUGACUGACAUGAUCACUUCAACAGUUGGUUAUCAAAGUAAUGUGCAUUUAUCACUCAAAAUGUAAAGUUGGGAUGUCUCAUAAAUGAAGACGGUCUGUAGAAGAUGUCUUUCUCACUAGUACAUUACCAUAUAAACAGUGGCUUUGAGAAAUCUGUCAAAAUUUGAUUAUUUAUGAAAUUGCCAAAAGAUGAUUUUCCUUUUUGUGAUAUCUUAUAAUUUAUGAGUUGCUGAAUGGAUUGUCUUGAGUUCAUUUUGCCAUAAGUAAUAAAAUUGGAUAUAUUUUGGUCACAUUUCUUGUUUCUGAAGCAAGGAAAUAUUAGGAGAUAACGUCAGGAAAUGGAGUGGUCGUUUGCUAAUUUGUUGCUUCGAUCAUAACUGUAGGCUGAACUUCACUGGGGACUUUAGUAAUCAACUAAAGUCCCAGAGCAAGCAUGUUCCCUCUGGCUGUUGCUUCUAUUGAGUAGGGAUGGCAAAAAUUCCCACAGGGACGGGUAUUUUCGGGGAUUUUCCCCAUUCGGGGAGGGUAUGUGGAUAAUUUCAUACCCAACAGCUUAUUCGGGGAAGGGAUGAAGAAAUUUUUUACCCAAUUUCUUAUUCGGGGAGGGGACGGGGAUGAGGUGGAAUCCCCAUCUCCUACCCAUUUUUCCGUUUUAAUUUUUAAUUUAAUUUUUAUUUUUUAAAUUAUUAGUAAAUAAAUAAUAAAAUUUGAAUUUUAAAAUUAUAAGUAUUGGUAAAAAUAAAAAAUAUCAAAAUAUUCAUAUUAUUAAACUUUUAGGCCUAAUUAAUUAAUUAAAGUUCUAAAUUUUUAUUUAGGACAUUAAAAAGACCGGACAGAUUCUAUUAGUCCAAAAUUUUUGUUUUAAUUUUAAUAUUCAUUAAAUAUUUUAAACUUAAAUUUAUUUUUUAUUUAUCUUAAAUCUAUUUUUAUUUAUUUUUAGAUGUUAUAAUUGCUCACAGCAAAUCACAAUUUUAAUAUAUAAUCUAAUAUAAUAUUUGCUCUUGAUUUGCUUCGACUUAACUAUUGUGCUAUAAAAUGAAUAGUCCACAUUUAUAAAGUGCCAAUGCCACCAUUGAAAAGUUAAUUUUGAAUAUAAAUUUGAUUUUAUUUGUAACAAUUUUGUAUUAGGCUAUUAAUUUAUUCAUGAUAGUUUGUAUCCCUUACAUGCUGAGUUACUUACUAAUUUAAUGUAUGUGACUUUUGUAAUGGAUAUUAAUGUAAGAUAUAUUUUGAACUUUAUUUUUAUUUGAAUUUUUUAUUUUAAUAUGAUUAACUUAAAAUCGAAAACAAACAAAAUGUAUUAGUUAUUCGGGGAUCUCCUGUUAUUAUUCGGGGAGGUGAUGAUGAUUCUCUUAAAUAAUUUUGACGGGAAUGGGGAGGGAACGAGGACAUACGCAAAAUAUCGGGAAUGAAUACGGGGAGAUUGGUCCCCUCCCCUCCCCUCCCCAUUGCCAUCCCUACUAUUGAGCCUUGAAGAAGUGAAAUUCAAUUCCCAUGGUAGCUAAACUCCAUGUUGCUCCAAUAACCGCUAGAAUGCUGAGAACCAUUCCUAAAAUUCCUAAUGCCCAAUUGAGACCCCAAAUUGCACUAUAUGUGGUGGGCUUUCUAAUGUGGAUCCACAUGAAGCAUGGAUACGCUAAGGUUAUGGGUAAUGCAAUCCCUCCAAUCAACGCAGCCAAGUUGCGCAAGAAUGGAAGUGCCGCUGAUAUAAAGAAUUCGACGCUUCCAAAGAAGACUCUAAUACCCGAGCGGAGCCACCAUGGACAUGGUUUGUUAUAUUUGCUAGUAUAUUUGAAUUCCAAAUUAUCAAACACCGGCAUAGCAAAAAUCUGAAAUGAGCUGAGACUGCUAAUCACAACAAAUAAGCUUGUCAAUCCCAGAAGCACUUUUGAUGUGUCAUGAUUAUGGUAUUUGUGCAAGGCAUCAAACAUCCCUUCAUUUCCAGGCAUCUGGCAGUAAGCAUCAUAUAUAUCAUUAGCCUUAAAGAAACAAAAGAAAAGUAAACAGAGACAACAGAGACGGUAUUGGCUUUGCUCUCACCAAAUUUCCAUAUGCGGAAUAGCCGCCUAUUGCAAGAGGAAACAAACACAUCGCAAUAAUCAAAUAUGCGAACUUCACUCCUCUCCACAUCGGGAUACGCGAAGGUUUCUUUGCAGUAGAAGGCAUGGUCCCCUGUAACAAUAUCGUCAUAAUUAUAAUUUUUCAAAAUUCAUCAGUUUCAAUAUAUAUUUUUAAUUGAAUAUAUUGCCAUUUCUUUGAAUGAAAAGGUUGAACUUUACUUGUACUUCGAGCACAAGAUUAUGGCCUCUGAAAGCGAAGGCGAUUAUCCCAAGUGAAUUGAGAAUACUGAAAAUGGUAGCCACGUCUGAUAUCUCCUUCACCGGCUCGUAGGAGACACCCACGGGCCUAUCUUUAAUGACGGACACAACCCAAAUGAUUGUACAGUAGCUAACGGCAGUGAUUGCUCCGAUCAGGGAAACCCCAGCGAUUGAAUUUAAGUUGGGAAGUUGAGCCAAAACAACUGCUGCGCAAAUGAACACCAAGUACCACUCUACAGUUGUUAAACGAGUAACGUUGCAUGUCUCACUAGCACCACACACGAUUUCGAAAAAUGUCUUCAACGUGCCACCUCCUAUCAUGACCAAGAUCACACACGUGCCACCUGAUAGAUACAUGAUUGGGAAAAGAGCAAGCAGCUUCCCUCGUUUUUCACCUAAAAAUCUCGCAAUCAUGCGUUAAUUAUUAAUUGGCCUUUUGUGUUUCAUUAAACGGAAGUGCAGGUAAGCCAGUAUUGUAUUCAAGCUGAUUAUUUAGGACAUAUAUAAGGUACUUUGCAAGCAGCUUCCCUUGUUUGUUAUGGUGUUGAUAGGGAAAUGAUGAAGAAGUUGGGUUUGGCUUAUUCUUCGGGAUCCGAAGAAAUUGAUUAUCAAUUAAGGUGAAUACUGAUGGAGUAACUGUAAAGGUAAUCCAGGUCUUUUCAGCUGGUGGAGAGAUUUUCCGUGAUCCUAUCUUGCCGGUUUUGGUUGAUCAUGAUGAGGGUUCACUCGCGUUACUGCUUUUAAGCUUUAUGUGCUUUUUUCAGUCUCAAGUUACGACUAAGCCGUAUUCAUCUGUCUUCAACAAAGAAAAAUGAUAUAGCCUGAAGGAAUGGUGUUAAAGUAUUAAUUAAUUAUUUUGUCUUUUUUUUUGGGUUUAAUUUUUCUAUUUAACUAUUACAGCUCUCCAACGAAUCACACACCGUCUUAUGAGGCUUACUCUCUCUCUCUCUCUCUCUCUAUAUAUAUAUAUAGCUUUGACUGUCGUUUACCAAAUUUGUAUUUUUUUUUUUAUGAGAAUUUGUAUUUUUUUUUAAAAACAAAAAAGAAUUGCACGUAAGUCAUUAUCAACACCAAAUUAAAGCCUGUUAUGUACUUCUUGUACCAUAUAGGACGCUGCUUACCAAAAGCUGCCAUUGAAAGACGGAGGUAUCUGCUGUAGCGUGUCCCAGAUUCCGAUUCAUGCAGCUGAAUCAGUAACCAUAAAGUGUACAGCUGCCAUAUGAAAACCAAUAAGAGACAUAUAAUUCCCCAGGUCCUGCAAAAUAUGAUUAUGAUUAGGUUCAUUUUACAUUACAAGUUCUACAACAAAAUAGAUUAAAAAUGAAAAAAAGAACGAAAAGAAAAACUAAAAACCUAAUUAUGAUUAUGAUCAUGAUCAAAGACAAAUUUAUUAUUUACCAGCCGAGAGUAGUGAAGGCUAGAGGAAGAACGAGGGCCUGAACACCGAUUCCUGAACUGAGAGUGUGAAACGCUGAGUAGUACGCAUUGCCAUUCCUGGAUUCAGUGAUGGGAAGCCAAGCGUCUUGAGGGUCAAGUUUGGUGAAUUGACCAACCUCUUCUAAGUAACCAUGCACACUUGUAAUCGCCUUCUUCAUAGGGCUGACAAUUGGUGUCAUUAAACGCGAAGCCAACGGGCUUCUUGGUGUUCUAGGGGCUGAAUCAGGCAACGGUGAUGGAGGAGCUGAAAUGGCUGUACUUGCUGGGCUCGAAAUCUCACCCAUCUCUAACAAAUUACUUAUUCUAGCUCGCUCUUAUCUUUUGAUAUAUGUGUGUGUGUGUGUGUGUGUAAGUGGAGCUAUAUUAAUUCUUUGACUAUAUUGCUAUAACUCGGGGAGCCACUUUUACUUUUGAUUUAAGGAGUAGUAUACGAUUUGUUUAAUAACUGUGGACGCUGAUCAGUAGGUUAAAUAAAAAUUAAUUAUUGAAUUAAGUGGAAACUUUGACUCGACGACCCCACGUUUGGCUGCUGUCGUCGUGAGAAAUGGCACCAGUGAAUGAGUGGCCGACUCUUUUUUGAAGCUCGCCUCUUUUCCAUCAUGCCGCAGCCGCCACACACGUCACCUUGCCUUCAUCAGCAUCUCCUUUUCUCUCUAGCUACCUAUCUUUAAUUAUGGACUGUUUAAUUUGCAUGUAUAUUGUAUUUUAUGUUGUAUUUUCUCUGUUUUCAUGCACGUAGUUUGUUUGACUGGACAAUCAGGAGACGCUGUAUCGCGCUAAAACCACUUUUUUUUUUAAUAAUGAAAAUAAUUUUUUUUUUAAAAAGAAAGUAUUCCUUUCAUUGCCUUAAGAAGAGAACAAAUACAAGAUUUCAACUGGAAAUUCAUCCAGCCAUAUACAAGAUUCCGACUUUCUAAGAGCUAACUUAGCUAGGUCAUGAGCUAAAUUAUUACAAGUCCUCCCUACAUGCUAAGCUUUGAAAUUCUGGAAACUCUUCUUGGCUUCUAGAAUGUCAAAGAUCACCCAAAAAAGCUUUGUUGAGGUGCUUUGCUUGCUGUUUAUUAGCUCUACCACCCUCUUCGAGUCAGAUUCUAAAAUGAUUGAAGAUGCCCCUGCCUUAAUAGCUUCUUGAAUUCCCCACAGAGCAGUCUUUGCUUCAUACAUCUCCACAUCUCCAAAGCUUUUGACAGUGUUUACUGCUGCCGCAACCACUUCGCCUCUGUAAUUCCUGAUCACAGCCCCCAAACCAGCAAGAUUAUUUUGCUCAUCUAUUGCGGCAUCCACGUUAACUUUGACCCAAUCUUCACUAGGAGGACUCCAUUGGUUUUGCUGCAUGCUUGUCAAUUCCAGUGAGAAAUUGUGCUCUGGUUGCUUUAUUCGUUUGACAGAAUCAGCUAUAGACAUUGCUUUGGCUAUCAGUCGUGAUGGAUCUUCACACUUCCCAUUAAACAGCCAGUUGUUCCGAGCAUUCCAAAUGACCCACAAAAAGGAUGCAACUAGCUCACUAUUUAGAUUGCUAUGAUGUUGGUAUGAGUGGUGAAGCAAAGUAAUAACAUCAGGGAAAUUUUCAACUUUCAAAUCAAUUCCCAGGGAGGAGUAUCUCCACACUUUCCUCGCAAAUUUACAGAACAAUAAGGCAUGAGUUGUGCUCUCUAUCUCAUUAUUGCAGAUUGGACAAGUUGCCUCUUGCAUCACUCUUUUAUUCCUUAAAUUUUCUGUUGUGGGAAGAAGAUUCUUUGCCGCUCUCCAAAGGAAGAUCUUUACUUUUUCGGGGACCAUAAAUUUCUAAGAAGAUUCUUUGCCGCUCUCCAAAGGAAGAUCUUUACUUUUUCAGGGACCAUAAAUUUCUAAAUGAUAUUCCAUUGACUGGGGUUUUGAUUUGAGCAGCUGGGAAUGUCCUGGUGCCUUUGCUUUAAAGCUAGCUGGUAGCCACUUCUAACUAAAUAGUUCCCUCGCUUAUCAUAAUGUCAAAUUAGAGUAUCUCUAUUUUGCUGUCUAGGGAGAGGAUAUGAACAAUUAUUUCAGCAUCAUCUUUACCAAAAUGUUGAUAGAUUAGCUCUUCCUUCCAGCAAUUGUUGUCAUCUAUAAGCUCCGCCACAGAUGCUUCCUUUGGCAAAUUUGGGGGUGAUAUGGGUUUGAAAGUUGUUGGUCUAGGAAUCCAGCUGCCAUUAAGGAUAUUUAUCUGUUGCCCAUUACCGACUCUCCACCUGCAGCCAUUCUUCAACUCUUCUCUUCCCCAAAGAAUGAUUCUCCAAAUGUAAGAUGGUUUAGAACCCAAAUUUGCCUAUAUGAAAGAUGAAUACUUAAAAUAUCUUGCCUUUAGGAGUCUGGCCACUAGAGAACCUGGAUUUUGGAUGAUCCUCUAGCCUUGUUUGGCCACGAGGGCCUGGUUGAAACAUGAGAGAUCUUUGAACCCCAAACCUCCUCUGAUUUUUGCUUGGCACAGAUUCUCCCACCUAAACCAGUGGAUAUUUUUUUUUCUCCUUCGAUGAGCCCCACCAGAACUUGGCUAUUUCCUUUUGCAUAUCGUCACACAAUCCUUGAGGAAGCUUGAAAACACUCAUAACAUAAGUGGGAACCGCUUGCGCCACUACUUUAAUAAGGAUCUCUUUACCUCCACAUGAGAAAAAAUUUUGCUGCCAGUCCGAAAUCUUGCUGAGCACCCUGAGCUUUAUCUCGUUGAAGAAACCCUUUGUCAUUUUCCCUAUCAUUGAUGGAAGUCCAAGAUAUUUUUCGUGCUUAGAGACGACAUUAAGCUGAAAAAUAUGUUUUAUUGCUGCUACAUGCUCCGGCUUUGUGUUGCUACUGAAAAACAUUGAUGAUUUUUCCAUGUUAAAAAUUUGACCCGAAGCCCUCUCAUAGCAUUCAAACACCUUCUUUAGAUUUCUACAUUCGUCAGCCGUUGCUCUAGCAAACAUUAGACUGUCAUCCGCGAACAUGAGAUGGGAAAUAGACAAGUCUUUGCCGAAAUUUAACCCAUAGAUAAGCUUUUAAUGCUCGGUCUGUCUAAUCAGAUUGGAAAAAGCUUCAGCACACAUAAUAAACAGGUAUGGAGACAAUGGGUAGCCUUGUCUAAAGCCUCUUUGCGGAUAAAAUAAUCCUUUUGCUACCCCAUUUACAAUAACAGAAGAAGAAACUAUAGUAAUUCAAUUCAUGAUUAGAUCAACCCAUCUCCGCAAAAACCUCAUUCUCAGCAUAAUUUGUUCCAGAAAAGGCCAUUUCACUCUAUCAUAAGCUUUGCUGACAUCUAGUUUAAGAGCCAUCAGCCCAUGUUUUUUUCCCUUACUAUGUCUUAUCUUAUGCAAGCAUUCAUAGCCUAUAAUAGUGUUAUCCAAGAUUAAUUUAUUCGGGAUGAAUGCACUUUGGGUUGGAACUAUGAUGUAGUAAAGGAUGUGUUUGAGUCUAUUUGCAAUUGUUUUGGCAACUAUUCGGUAAAUAAAAUUGCAAAGGCUUAUGGGUCGGAAAUCGGUUACUCUCGAAGGUUUUGACACCUUAAGGAUUAAUGCAAUAUGUGUAUGAUUUAAAAGGGCAAUGUCACCUCCAUUGUUUAGGAUAUGAAGACAUGUAUUUAUAACUCCAUAUCUGACUAAAUGCCAAUGCUUCUGGUAAAAAGCCGCAAGCAGCCCAUCUGGUCCCGGCGCCUUUGUAGGACUCAUUUGAGAUAUGGUUGUGUAAAUUUCCUCUGCUGAGAAUGAGCUGUCCAACUGUUGAUUCAUUUCAUCCGUGAUUGUUGGGGCUAACUCGCCAAGGGCAGCUAAGAUGUGGUCAGAAUUAAAAUUGGAUGUGGUGAAUAGCUCGGCAAAAUAAUCACAAAAUUGUUUGUCCACUUUUUCCUCAUCUUCCACCCAACUGUUCUGCUUGUUCAUAAUUCCCCAAAUUCUGUUUUUUUACUUCCUUGACGAAGCUUUUGCAUGAAAGUAUUUGGUGUUUCUAUCUCCUUCCUUCAGCCAUUCAACUCUUGACCUUUGUCUCUAAUAAAUCUCCUCAUCCAUCCACAAAUUCUCAAUUCGCUUCUCUAAACUCACUAUCUCAUUGUCUUCUUCAUAAUGCACUUGAUUAAGCUUCAUCUCCACCAGCAUUUUCUUCAACUGCUCCACUUUUUUCUUUCUAUCACCAAAAUGUUGCCUAUUCUAUAACAAUAGCCGAGCCAUUGAGUCUUUUGUUGCUUUGUUAAAGCAUUGAACCAGAUCAUUUUUAUCCCAACAAGCCUUCGUUUCCCACUCUUCUUGAACAAUAUGCUUACAAUCUUCAUAAGGGCUCCACAUGUUCUCAUAAUGCAGCCUACAUAUCAUUCUUCGCUGAAAAUUCACUCCCCUGAUUCUGGUUUGCACUUUCAGCAUAAUUGGGGUGUGGUCCGAGCACCAUGUAUCUAGGUUAUAAGCAACCAGUUCAGACAAACCAGUUUCCCACUCCUUCAACCCAAAAAAUCUAUCUAAUUUUUUUUUAACAAAAUUUGGACCAAAUCAUCUAUUUGACCACGUAAAAAGGUACCCUCUACACUCAAUGUCAGCCAACUUGCACUCCCUCAUUGCAUCUCUAAACUCAGCCACCAUACUUAAGUUUCUAUCAUUCCCACCCAUUUUUUCAUUGGGGUUUAAGAUUUCAUUAAAAUCUCCAAAACAAAUCCACGGGUAAGUGAAUAGACCUGCAAGCCUUUUAAGGAGUGUCCACGUAUGUCUUUUUUGCCCCGCCUCUGGAUGCCCGUAGAUACUCAUGCACCUCUAUUGUUUUCCAUCUACCCCUCUGACAAUAGCAUCAAUGUGAUGGUUACUAUAGGAGGCAAUCUCCAAGUCCAAGUCUUCAUUCCAAAGCAUUGCCAAACCACCCCCAUGCCGCUUCUACCUACAGCAAAACAAUUAUCUAACCCCAGCCUCUUCCCCAUAUUCAUCAUGUGGCCAUACUCCAAUUUCGUUUCACACAGAAAAAGAAUUCGAGGCUGAUGUUUUUGGAGAAUGUCUUUUAAUUCAUGGAAUGUUCAGGUAUUCCCCAAACCUCGAACAUUCCAACUUAAGAUACUCAUUGCUUUCGGCGGGGCUGACAACCAGCCUCCGCCAAUAAUUCCUCCAUAAUUGGUUCAGGCACCUCCAUAAGUUCCAUAGUUGUUACUUCCUAGCUGAGUUUGAGAGUUUUUGAGAGAGGCUUAGUUGGGCUAACAACCAAGACUUUUUUCACAGGGCUUGCUGUUUUGGCUUUUUUCUUUUUCGGACUAGGCCACAUCACCUCGCUGCAUAAUCGUUUUGAUACCAAAGUCCCAGCUUUACUAGGUUUUUUGUUUGUAUCACAGGCUUGACUUUUCCAUCUUUUCCAUUUGGGCCUCGAUUUUUUUGCCUUUAGCCCAUCGUCUACAACUUCUUCCUCUGAGCUCAUUUGGGUUGAGUGCGUUUCAUUUGCUCGUUUUUCUUCUUUGCCCGCCAAGAUUUCAUUCCCCUUUCCAUUUCCUCCAAUUUUUCCUUUUUCUAGCAAAUAUCUCUCUUGUAUGUCCUGCAUUCCUGUUACAUCAGAAAUUUUAGCUGCACCGUGCAGCUUUUUGUCAUUGGAUUGCAUCAGCUUUUUUUUGCUUCCUUCAAAAUUGUCAGCAGUCACAGCACCCUUAUCCAUGUGUCCCUCCCUUAUUAGCCCUCCUUCCAUAUCCAUGCUUUCUUUAUUCAAUGUGGAUCCGAAUUGAUGACCCACGUUUAAGUUGGGUGAACCCGAGUUUGGGAUUUCUGCACUAUCCGAUUCUGGAACUUCUUCUCUAGAUUUUUCGUGCUUCCUACUCCAUUUCUCCCUUGCUCUGUUUAGCUUGGUUCUGUCUGCUAAUGAUACUACUUUUAACCAUGGUAUGAACGGUAAAUUUUCUUUCUGCUGGCCUUUAUACUCCAUACAUUCUCUGAACUGGUGUCCAAUGCAUCCACAACAAAAGCAGAAGUCAGGUAAUCAUUCAUACACCACAGGCAAAUGGAUGUCCUCUUCAUCUUCUUGCUUUAGGACUAUAAGUUUCUUCAAAGGUUUUGUAAUAUUCACUGAAACUCGGAUACGUACAAAUUCCCCAAAGCAUUCACCCUAUGCAUCCAUGCCUAUAUCCUCCACCUUUCCAACCCUCGACCCCAGCUCUCGGAUAGUAUCCAUGCACAUCAAUGGCACAUUAUGGAUUUGAAUCCAGAAAGAGACAUGAGAAAAAGAUUGUUUUUUGAUACUACCAAUACCCUUUGGUUCUUGGAGAACCAUCAAGGCUCUAUCAAAGUGCCACGGUCCUCCAUUUAAGACUCUUUUUAUCAGCUUCUGAGAGAAACUUAAAAACGAAUAUGUUGCUACCUAAGCUUUCUACCUUGAAAUCAUGAACAGUACGCCAAGCUUGGUCCAAAGCUGUUUUGAGUCCUUCACGAUUUACCCCUCUCGCUAGAAGAAUUUUUCCAACAAGACAACCAGCAACUACUUUGGAACCCUUUUCUUUCAUCUGGCCCGCAAAAAUAAAUUUGUCUGUUUCCUCUCCUUCAAGUGUUAUGGCUUGACACUUCCGUAUUAACUCUUCCGUUUCCAUCUCCAAGCCACUAGCCCACGAUAUUUAUUGUAGUAUUUUGGAUUUUGCUUUGAAAAACCCUCACCAACCCCUCCUGACCUUCCGAGGAGGAUUUUCAAAAAGCAAAAAAUAAUUAAAAGCUUCACCCACCCCUUUGGAAUAAGACAAAGGAAGAGGAAGACAAAAGAAUCACCAAACACUCCUUAUGAGUGAUACUCAAGGCCAUGAAGGCCUGAUGUAGCUACCAUUCUACCUUUCCUCAUUUCAGAGAAAAGAAAGGAGAGUCUUACAUCCGAAUCUUUUAACUUAUUCUUUACUUUAUAUAAGGGAUUCCAUAAUGAAAACAUAUUAAAGUUAAAUAUUUGCUAUGAAUAUACGGACCUAAAAUGAUUCUCCUCUGAUAUAAGUUCUUACGAUUAAAUUAAAAUUAAAAUACGAGCGAGUGUUUUAUAUUGUUUAUAUACUUCGAAUUAUACAUAACUUGAAGUUCAGGCUCCAGAGUUCACUGGAAGUUAAGUGUUAGAUCAUCAGUCGGGACUUGGGAAAAAAAUUAUAAAAAUCAGAAAAUUUGAUCAGUCUAGUCGGGCUCAAAACUACAAACAUACUCUUUCGAUACUGCCAGCAAAAAAUAAAAUUGAUAGUCAUUAAUAAAACCCCUUCGUGCGCUGUGGGAAAAGGCGCCUUGUCAACUUUCCUCGUUACUUAUUUCCUAACUUUAUUUCAAUCUUGUCCAAAUUGCUUUUGUUUGAAAAUUUCUCUGUGAUUUGUCUGCGGAUCAUGAUGUUUAUUUAAUUUAUCACUCUUCAUCUUCUUGCUUUAGGACUAUAAGUUUCUUCAAAGGUUUUGUAAUAUUCACUGAAACUCGGAUACGUACAAAUUCCCCAAAGCAUUCACCCUAUGCAUCCAUGCCUAUAUCCUCCACCUUUCCAACCCUCGACCCCAGCUCUCGGAUAGUAUCCAUGCACAUCAAUGGCACAUUAUGGAUUUGAAUCCAGAAAGAGACAUGAGAAAAAGAUUGUUUUUUGAUACUACCAAUACCCUUUGGUUCUUGGAGAACCAUCAAGGCUCUAUCAAAGUGCCACGGUCCUCCAUUUAAGACUCUUUUUAUCAGCUUCUGAGAGAAACUUAAAAACGAAUAUGUUGCUACCUAAGCUUUCUACCUUGAAAUCAUGAACAGUACGCCAAGCUUGGUCCAAAGCUGUUUUGAGUCCUUCACGAUUUACCCCUCUCGCUAGAAGAAUUUUUCCAACAAGACAACCAGCAACUACUUUGGAACCCUUUUCUUUCAUCUGGCCCGCAAAAAUAAAUUUGUCUGUUUCCUCUCCUUCAAGUGUUAUGGCUUGACACUUCCGUAUUAACUCUUCCGUUUCCAUCUCCAAGCCACUAGCCCACGAUAUUUAUUGUAGUAUUUUGGAUUUUGCUUUGAAAAACCCUCACCAACCCCUCCUGACCUUCCGAGGAGGAUUUUCAAAAAGCAAAAAAUAAUUAAAAGCUUCACCCACCCCUUUGGAAUAAGACAAAGGAAGAGGAAGACAAAAGAAUCACCAAACACUCCUUAUGAGUGAUACUCAAGGCCAUGAAGGCCUGAUGUAGCUACCAUUCUACCUUUCCUCAUUUCAGAGAAAAGAAAGGAGAGUCUUACAUCCGAAUCUUUUAACUUAUUCUUUACUUUAUAUAAGGGAUUCCAUAAUGAAAACAUAUUAAAGUUAAAUAUUUGCUAUGAAUAUACGGACCUAAAAUGAUUCUCCUCUGAUAUAAGUUCUUACGAUUAAAUUAAAAUUAAAAUACGAGCGAGUGUUUUAUAUUGUUUAUAUACUUCGAAUUAUACAUAACUUGAAGUUCAGGCUCCAGAGUUCACUGGAAGUUAAGUGUUAGAUCAUCAGUCGGGACUUGGGAAAAAAAUUAUAAAAAUCAGAAAAUUUGAUCAGUCUAGUCGGGCUCAAAACUACAAACAUACUCUUUCGAUACUGCCAGCAAAAAAUAAAAUUGAUAGUCAUUAAUAAAACCCCUUCGUGCGCUGUGGGAAAAGGCGCCUUGUCAACUUUCCUCGUUACUUAUUUCCUAACUUUAUUUCAAUCUUGUCCAAAUUGCUUUUGUUUGAAAAUUUCUCUGUGAUUUGUCUGCGGAUCAUGAUGUUUAUUUAAUUUAUCACCAUGCCCAUGAAGUUCCAAUAUAUAUAUAUAUAUAUAUAUAUGAUUCAACGGAUAUGAAAAAGAAACUUGAUGGCCAUGGGGAGCAAAACCACUUCAUGGAUAAGGACGUGGCCAUUUCAGUCGUAGCUUGCUAUUGCACAUGCAAAACAAUACUUUAACCUGCCAUGAAAUUAAGCUUUCUUUCACCUCUUUCAGUGGUGGCUCUGAGAUCACCACAACUUUAAUUUGUUUAUAUGCAUGUGAAAGUUGCUUUGGAUAUUUUUCUCUUUUUUAAUUUUUCUACUUUUGGUAGAGACGACUUCUUUUUAUCUUUUUCUUUUGGUCAAGACAUGCACCCGUUUUUCAUAUGUUUGGGAUCAAUCAUUCAGAGUAUGGCAAAGACUUUAAAGAUGAAAGUCGACUGAAAAAUUAUAAUCAGAUAGAUGAUGUAAAUUAUUUUUAUUUUCAAACGGUAAAUGAACAAAACUUACUUCUUCUUUGGUGAAAUUAACCAUUAUUUCCUUCAUUAGCUUUUACAACUCAAUAGAACACUGUGACAUUAAUAAUACCCAACGUUUCUUCUUUUUGUUUUUUUCCCAAAAAAAUUAGUGCUAUACAUAUACCAUAUACAUGAAUGCAUAUUAAAUUUUUUUUUUUUUUUGUCUUAACCACGAGGUAUCGUGGGGAGGGCUCCAACUGUGGGAGGCACCUUUAAGCCCGUACCACAACCCAGACUAGAAGUCCCCGCUCGAACCUGGAGGCACAUGUUCUCCCAAUAAAGACGACUUCCUUGCGACUCGAAUUGGGGAGCAAACUCAGUCAAGCCACUUAAGGGAGACUCCAUUACCAAUAGAGUCAACAUUUUGUUGGUUGCAUAUUAAAUAAUUUAACGUAGCAAAUAAAAAAUGUCGUAUGGUCACUGAUUAGGUGAAUGGCAUGCUUAAUCAUUUGCACAAAUUCAAGUCCAUGUGAAUCUUUUGCUUCAAUAUGUUUUGUAAGCUAACUACAACAUUUUCAUUUUUUGCAGUGGCCAGAAUACACACAUAUUAAAAAAAAUGACCUUAGUAUAAAUUAAAUUAAGCUGAAAAAGGAAAUUAAUAUGCCGAUUCCUAAGAUUAACAAAAAUAUUGAAUUUUUUAUUAUUUUUAUUUUGAUAAAAAAAUUUGAAAUAAGGGAUUUCUUAUUUUAAUAAAAUAGAAAAUAAAUUUAAAAAAAACACACACACAAAUACAUUAAAAUAUAAAAUAAAUUAAAAUUCAGUGUUGAAUUGAGAUUUUACUCAAUAAUAUAUUUCCAUCUGUCACAAAGAUACAUUAGAAUUAUUGUUUGUUUCCUUUUUUUUUAAUUUUUUGACCUUGACCAAUAACACAUCGUUUUGGAAUAAAUCUUUUGCUCCAAAAGGGCAAAAACUCCUGCGUUUGCUUUCCGAAGACUCCGCGUGUUUGCUUUCCGCCUCGACUCUUCCUCCUUCAUCUUAGGCACUUACUUCCAUGGGCGGAUCUAGCAUGUGACCAGUGGGGGCUCAAGCUCCCACUGGCCAAAAAAUAAUUGUAAAAAUAAAAAAGAAAAAUAUUUUUAUUUUCUAAUUAUCCCUCAUUAAAUUUAUUAAAAUAGUCACUAUAAAUUAUAAACCCCAUAAAAUUUAAACUUUAACUUUUAAGAAUUAUAAAAACUUAUAUUUUAAUUAAAAAUAAUGAUAGCCCUCCACCCAAAAUAUUUUCUAUUCUCAAAAAUAAGAUUAAUUCUUACAUUUUCUAUAAUAAUAGUAAAGAGAACGUUUUCAGUAAUGAAACUCAUUAAUAAUCAUCUUUGGAAUUGGAUGAAAUAAAUGAUAGUUUGGUUGUUUAUAUAAGAAAUAAUAAAUUUAAUAAUAUUGAUGACAAGUCUAUUGCAUAAUAUUUUUAAAAUAUGAAAUUUCGUAGAGAAUAAUUAUAAAUGUAUUAAUAAAUAUUUUAUAUAUUCAAAAUUUUAAUUUUUUAUAUUUUACUAUUAUCUAAUUUAGCCCCCGGUAAAUUAUUCUUCUAGAUCCGCCACUGCUUACUUCCACCAACAUCACAUCAAUUGAAGAAAUUUCAACAGCAGCAAAAUUCAGUUUGAUUUUUUUCAGAUUUUGUUAUUAAUUUAUAUUCUGUCUAUUGCUCUUUGUUGUCAUUGUUUAAUGCUAGAAUUAUCCCUCUUUUUAAAAACUCUUUUCCAUAUGAAAUUGCUUUUUUUUUUUUUGGUUUUAUCAUUUCUUCUAUGAGGAAUUUCGCCAAACAGGUGGCCGACAUGAAAUACAUCUAGAUUUGUUUUAGUGCAAUUGAAAAUUAACACCUCAAAAAUUGAUCAUGAAAUCGACACAAAAUUUACAGAAGCUGAAAUGGAUCAUCACAUUGAAGAUUUGGACAAAAAUAAAGAACGUGAAUAGGUAAAGAUGAAGUUUUGGAACAUACCGUCAACAACCAAAUGAUUCCACCCCAAAGAAGAAAAUGACAUACAAAAAACAUUAAAGGAGUAGAACUUAGUUGCACACUUGACCAAGUUGUUUUUAAGAAUUUUUUUAUUUAACCUUUGCUAUCCAUGUUCAUAUAUAUAUAUAUAUAAUAAGAAAAUUCUCAUUUUAAUAAAAUAAAAACACCACUAAUAAAUAAAAAUAACAUAUUUCAAUAUACUAACAGGUAAAAAAUAUAUUUUUUAAUGUAUUAAAACCUGUGCUUUUUUGGUAUUUUAGUGGACGUCUUCAUUUUAACCAAAUGACAGUACUCUCACUAGAGCUGGCAAAACGAGUUAUCGGAUCGUGUUCGUGUCGUGUCGUGUCAAAUUUAGAUUAACCCAAACCCAACCCAUUUAAUAAUCGUGUCAAAAUAUUGUGACACAAACCCGACACAGAAAAAUAAUCGGGUUACCUAAUAACCUGCUUAAUAGCUAUAUAUUAAACAAAAGUUACAUCAAAUAUUUACACAUUGUCAUAAAUACGUAUAUACAUUCAUACAUACAUAAUAUAUCAAUAUUAUAAAAUAUACAUAUCUAACAAAAUAUUACACAUUUACACUACUGAAGUUUUAAUUAUAUAUAUAUGUAAAUAAUAUUGUAUAUGAAUAUUAUAAAAUAUACACGUCUACUAAUAUUUUACACACUUACACUAUUGAAGUUCUAAAUGUAUUUAAAAUUUUAUAAAUAAAACAUUGUGUUUAUGUUUAUCCUUUCAAAGAAUAAAAUUAAAAGAGAAAAUCAUCUCUAAUAUUUGAGUUUUAACGACAAGAACCUGCAAAUUAUUUUAAAAUAUAAAAUAUAAUCGGGUCAUUGAUCGAGUAAAUAGGUCAAGAAUUUUAACCCUAACCCGACACAGAAAAAAAUCGUGUCGACCCGGAUCUGACCCAUUUAAUAAUCGUGUAAAAUUUAACAACUCAUACCCAUUUAUUUGUGUCGGGUAAUCGGGUCGUGUCAAAUUUUGCUAGUUCUAACUCUCGCAAAAAAAUGACUCUAUAUAUAUAGUGAUAAACGAGAAGAAAUAAUCAUAAUAAAUACUAGCACGAAGCGAAACACAAUCAUGUCCCUAAUAAUGCUAUUUGUUACAAGAAUCAAAUUACAAAUAUAUAUAUUACCAGUUUUAAAUAGAAGAGUGAACAGUAUCAGCUGAAGUUGUGGAUGGUUAUUGGGGAAGGACUUAUCAGCCGAUAAGAAGCAGCAGCAGAGCAUUUACUAGAGACCAUAAAUACAAGCAAUGCCUUGAGAAAAUUUUUAGACGCAGGAUUCUGAACAAUAUAGAUCACAUACUCCAAAAACGCUGCGUUGCAUGGCAAAAUUAUUGGCCCAUCAGUGGGUAACCCAAACUCUUCCUCAGACAUCUCAAAUAAUUCUCUGAAAAUGUUUGUAUGCAAAUAUGCCAGAGGAAUCACAAAGCGUCUCAAAUCGGUUGAGUACACAACAAAAUGGCCCUUGUUAGCUUGCUUACAAUUGCUGAUUCCGGGCAAUGCAAUCGAUCUUCGACCAACGCCGGCCAUUUUUCGCCACUUCAUAGCAAUGACAGUGAGUUUUUUCAAGCCAAUCAUGGAGGUUUUGUAAUGAAAAUAAUCAAAUUAAAAGAGAAUAUAGAAGCAUUGAAGACUCUUGUGAUGGCUUUGGAAAUUUAUACAUGUGUUCGAGUAAAAGAGUUGACACAAGUUUCAUCCGAAACCAUGUGCUGCUUGGACAGCGGAGAUGGUUUUAGAUGUGGGCUUGUUUUGGAAUUUUUUGAGGAUCUAAGAUCGAAAACGUUAGUGGGACAUAACAAGCCACAAGGAUAAUGAUAUGCGGCCUCUUCUAACAAUAAUAAUUGUGACGAUAAACGAAAAAUAUUUUAUUUUUUUAAUCAUUAGGGUGAAUACUUUCUGUUGAUGUUUCCAGGGCUUGGGGUUAGCGUUAGAAAUACCGUUCAUCUUUAUGAAUUUUGCUCAAACUGUUACGUUUCAACAUUGUUGUUAUUAUUAUUUUUCAAAAAAAAAAAAAUAGUUAUUAUGGAGCCACUAUGACUUGGCACAACGGUGGGUGCGUGCUGGGCACAAGUUGGAAUCUUCAUUGGGAUUCAAACAAUGUGGGUGAAGAUAAAUUUUUUCUCAAAAUAUUAGUGGUAGUAGAGUAGAUUGUAACUAAUUAAAAAAAUAUUAUCAUUUUAAUAUUUAUAUAUAUAUUAAAACUAAAUAAAGAUAACUAAUUUUAGAUCAUAUUUAAAAAUGAGUGGUACUAAGUAGAGAGAAAAUUGAGAAAAAUUAGUUCUCUCUCUACGCACCCACUCUCUCUAUCAUUUUCUUCAUUAUUUCUCUCAACAUUCUCUUUACAUAGCAUUUUAAAAAUAGGAGAAUGUCUGCACAUACCUCUAAAAUAAUAUAUGCGCAAAAAGAUCAUGCUUUUGGCAGAGCUGCGCCAGUAAUGAAAUGAAAAUAUAUCUAAACACACACUAACGAAAACAGGCUUCGUGAGUAGCGAUUAAUUUUUCGGAUUUUUCGCAGUGGGUGAUGAAUUCGCAGCGAGUCCAGACAGAUUUGCAUAAAAAUGAUAUAUUGGUUAGUCGUGUGAGAAAGAAACCAACAAAAAGUUGGGUUGCACAUGCAUGGAUAGUUGCAAGUUGCAACUCCUAUUUCCAGUUAGAAGUUGAAAACUGUUAACUCUAGGCUCUAGCUACUCCUGAUUGGCGCAGUUAUCAUCUACCUAGUGUUUUAAUAUUUUGUUGCCCCCUGUCACAUAAUUGUGAAAAACGGAAUAAGUGCACGAGUGAAUUAUAUACUUUCUAGAACAAAUAAACUGUAUACAUAUACAAGAUUUUUUCUGAUGAUGUUAUGAACUUUUUAUCUGGUAAAUUAAUAGUCCGUACACUCCUAUAAUUGGUAACUAAUAGACAAAGAAAGAAGUAAAACUUGAUCAUACGCACCAAAAGAUUUAGCUAAUUAAGUCUCAUGCGAUAUACUUUCGUUUGAAUAUGAGCAAGUUCCCAUGCAUUGUAAUGGUGAAGACACCGGAACAUGAUUCUCUCCUGAUCUUACCAUUACUAAGCUUUUAAUGAUAUUUUGCCAUGUGUCUUUUAGUGGUAGUGUAAGGGUAAAAUUUAACUUCUUUUACUUUUUUAUUUAUUAACAACCAAUCAGUGAUUGAGUUAUUUGCUUAGGUCAUGAUCAGAUUAUGAGAGAAUCCUGAUCUGAAGACACCAUGUACGUAAGAGAGAGAUAAGAAAAAAAGAAACGGGGAGGUUUACAUGUGCAUGCAGAAAGACAGACCAUAUAGAGCUAAUUAUGGAUAUAUAUCAUUUUUGGUAUCAUCUGGUACAUAAAGAUACAGAAGGGGAAAAGACCAACUGCGCAAGAUCCAUGGGAUAAAAUUGAACUCAUUGUUUGCCAAUGUGGUAGUGCUUUAUAUAGCACCAACUUAACAUAUAAGUUCACUAAUGAAUGUGAAAAAAUAAGACUUCACAAUGACAUUAUAAAAUAAUGGCACGUCAUUUGUUACAUUAUGUAGGUAUAAUUUUCUAUCACAAAUUUAUAAAUAUAAUGUUAUUAAUGAUAACAUUAUAUAUAUCAACUUGGAAAAGAACUAUAUUAUAUUAUAUUAUAUAUAUCAACUUCUACUUGUUGAAGUACACUAUUUGCCUUUCAAAUUUUAAGUAUUGUUUGUGCGAUCAAUGGCUAAGUUUCUUGCUCAUUGCCUAAGAUUUAAUAUUACUAAUAAGUAAUAAAGACAUUAUCAUGCAAUAAUAAGAUAAAAGCAGAAGUAUCAAGCUACAUAUUCAAGUUCUCCAUAUCUUUGGAUUCUGAUUAAUUUGGAUUCUGUCUCUCAACAUUAAUUUAGGGUUGUACAUAGAAAGCAAAAUCUCGAGCGAGUGAAAUUUUGUCGGGGUAUAAAAUAUGGGACACAAGCCAUGUGGAUCACCACCUUCACUACGUGGUUACGGAAAUGGGCAUGUUCGGUUAAGACAAUAAUAAGCAAUCCUUUAGAGUUGGUUGGUGAUCCACACACUGAAUAAAGAAUUAGACAUCCAAGAAGAAGCUAAUUAAUCAACAUUUUACGAUAUAUAUAUAUAUAUAUAUGUUUCUCUUUAACAAAACGACAUGGCACCCAUGAAAAAAAAUAGGCAGAUGGAGGUCGGAAAAAGUCUCUUACCUGUAACACUAGCUAUUGUAUAUAUAAUAUGUACACACGGGCGAGUUUUUCAUAAAUAGCGUGAACAAAUUGGAAUCCGUAUUUGGAGCCAUAACACGAAAUAAUAAAGCUGAGAAGGUCGAUCUCCAGGUGAAAAUUUCACAUUAAAAUUGGCUACUAUAUAAAUUUAUGUAUAAAUCAUCUCGCUCGGACUCAAAUUAAUCCGCCCACAUAUAUUAGUAGAAAAUAUUUGUUAAGUAAAUAUAUGCACCAAAUAUUUUAUGUUUUCAUCCGUUGUGCUUUAAGAAUUAAGUAAAACUGUAAAAGCAUAACUUCUCUAUAGCGUAAAGUUGUACAUAAAGGAUCCACCGAAGAAGAAGAAGACUUCUCUAGCAAAUUAUACAUAAGCGUAAAACACAUCAUGUAAGAAGCAAGUUGCAAAUUUUUAUUUAAUUAACCUCACAUGUAUGUCUCGAACCCCACUUGCACGAAUCAUGAUUUAGAAAUUAGAACUAAGAUCUUCUCCAGCAAUGUUGCUAUUCUGUUCAGCUAGUUAUUUACUUUUUGAUCAUUGAUUUGAAUAAUUUCAGGAAGUGAGAAAGUUAAUUCAACCACGUCUAUGGAUCGACCAAUACAUCAUCUAUUUGCUAAGCAAAAAUCCUUCCGUAGAUGUGGAGGAAUCUCUAGUCUCCGUGACUACUUGCAAGGGAGCUUCAUUGUCUACUUUCUUUCCUCUCUCUUAUGCUAAAGUCAAGGUGACCGUCAAAAUGUAGUUUCAUAAGGAUAAUGAGUCUGCGUCUCACCGAGGCUUGUGCAUAACAUCACAACUAGUACAGGAUUUGUUUUUUCUCCUAUUUUUUGCUACAAGGAGUUUUAGGAUCCGUAAAUAAGGACUGGGCAACUUUGAAUUUUGAUGAAUCCAAUUCGAUUUUGGAUUGUUCGGAUUAGGAAAAAAAAUAUCAUCAAAUUCAAAAUUAGAUGAUAUUUAAGAUGAAUUCAAGCUUGGAUCAAUUCGAAUGAAUUCAGAUUUGGAUGAUAUUUCAGAUUUCAUUUAAGUUAGUAGUUCAAUUCAAUCGGAUUCUUUCGGAUCAAUCUGGAUUCGAUCCGAUUCAAAACAAAUCGGAUCAGAUGGCACAAACUAUAUCCAAUCCGAUAUCAGGCAAUAUUCAAAUCUGAUCCGAACUGGAUCGGAUCGGAUCUAUAUGAAUCCGAUGCCGAGCCCCACCAGAAAUUAGAUGCGCUUAUGUAUAAUUUUUUGCGCAAUUACAAAUAUGACGAAUUCCUCUAAUCUAGAUAACUUUCUUAUCAUAUUUUAUAGUUUGAAAGUGCAAUUCAAAACAUGUCAGCACAAUUAUAUAGAUUUCCAAUUCUCAAACCCGAGCAUGCCGGAGUUCCAAAUUGUCUAAAACAUGAUCCCUCCUACAAAUGCACAAAUGUGGCCCCUGUUUAUUCAUAUAGAUCAUUACAAGAAAAACAAAACAUCUAAAUUUCAGUGACAAGGCAAAAUAUAUAUAAACCAGCAUAACGGAUUUUAGUACAGCAUAAUUUUGCUACAGGCAUAAACAAGAUGUUGAAUGAGAAAUAGAACCACUACUUCUCUGUUUGAGGCCCUCUCUUUGGGCAAAAGCCCCAGGCAUUCAAAGUUUGGAUGUCGCAAGCUUGAUGAGAUCCUUCCUGAGAAUCUUGCCUGAUGGAUUCUUGGGUAUUGAAGCUACAAAUGCCACUCUCCGAACCCUCUUGUAUGGGGCAACCUGAAAAUUUAAACAAAACUGCUAAAUUAACUGUUCCAUAACUAAUUCAAAAGCCUUUAAAUAUUUCCGACCAAUACGAUCUAAAACACCUGUCUUGCUACAAAAUCCAUGACUUCAUUCUCUGAUAAUCGACUUCCAGCUUCCCGUACCACAUAUGCCAUGGGAUAUUGCCCAGCCUCCUUGUCAGGAAAUCUGAGAAACCAUAUACCAAACUAAAUCUCCAUUUUAUUUUAUUUCUUUUAACAAAAAAGAUCAUAAAUCUGUUUGCAGGAGUAAGUUUCCGGAGAUACUUUUUUUUCCCAAUCCAACACCCCCCCCUCCCCCCAACAUUUCAGUAACACAAAUCAUUAAAGAGGCACUUAUUUUUAUAAAAAGGUGAGUUACCAUGCCC